UGGAGCUGCUCUUCUUGUGAGACGAAGACUUCAAGGAUUUUGAUGAUGAAGAUUUUGAGGAUUUCUUCUUUUUCUUCGCAUCAUCAGAACUGUAAUCCUUGUAUUUCUUCUUUGAUUCCUUUUCCCACUGAGGACAAUCUUGAAUGUAGUGUCCAGGUUUCUUGCAUUUGUGACAAAGCCUCUUCUUGUAGUCACUGGAUGAGGAAUCAUUGCUCCUUGAGGAUUUUUCAAAGCGACCAUGUCUUGAGAACCUCUGAAAUUUCUUCACGAGCAAUGCUAGCUCCUGGCUCAGUUCUUCAGGAUCACCAAGGCUACUACCAGAAUCUUCACCUUCAGAUUCAGAGACGACCUUGGCCUUCAGGGCACGUGAUCUGCCAUAGCUCGAACCAUAGAGAUCUCUCUUCUCAGCAAGCUGGAACUCAUGAGUAUUUAGCCUCUCGAGGAUAUCAGCGGGAUCAAGUGACUUGUAAUCAGCACGCUCUUGUAUCAUCAAUGCCAGAGUAUCAAAUGAGGAAUCAAGCGAUCUCAGCAAUUUCUUCACCACCUCAUGGUCGGUGAUGUCAGUGGCACCAAGUGCUUGAAGCUCAUUUGAGAUGUCAGUGAGGCGAUCGAAGGUUUGUUGAACAUUUUCAUUGUCGAGUCUUUUGAAGCGGUUGAAGAGAUUGCGAAGAACAUCAACUCGAGUGUCACGCUGUGUUGAGACUCCUUCAUUGACUUUGGACAGCCUAUCCCAGAUAAGCUUAGCAGUUUCCAAAGCACCCACUCUUCCGUACUGUCCUUUGCUCAGAUGGCCACAAAUGAUGUUCUUCGCUUGAGAAUCGAGUUGCUUGAAUCUCUUCACAUCAGCAGCAUUCAGAGAAGGUGUGACUGAGGGAACACCAUUUUCCACAACAUACCAGAGAUCGUUAUCAAUUGCCUCAAGAUGCAUUCGCAUCUUAUUCUUCCAGUAGGGAUAAUCCGUCCCAUCGAAGGUAGGACACCCAACAGAGACCUUGAUCAUACCUGCGGUCGACAUAACUAAAACUCCAGGCGGUUAAACCAAAAUCACACAGAACAAAGGGAGUACCUUGCUCUGAUACCAAUUGAAAGUGCGUUAUAUCGACUAGAGGGGGGGUGAAUAGGCGAUUUUUAUGAAUUCUUCACUGAGGAAUUUGCAGGUGAGGAAAUUCCUUAGCGAAGAACUACUUGCAGUGGAAUAAGUACUCAAAAGUAAACAUAAUAGAACACAAGCAUGGUCAUCAUGAUGAAAUGAAGACAAGCACAUAGUACAGAAAGCGUAAACACAGGAUAACACAAGAUGAGGACAAACAGACUAAAGAAAUUGAACUGAGGAAAUUGAGAAAGUCUUCAGUCAAAGUCUUCAAACACAGAUAUGAACAAGCGCGCAACACAGUUAUGAGGAAAUGAAAGAGUUGAGGAAAUAGAACCAGUUGGCUUGGUGAAGACAAUGAUUUGGUAGACCAGUUCCAACUGCUGUCUCAGUUGUACAUCUGGUUGGAGCGGCUAGGUAUUUAAACCUGAGGACACACAGUCCUCACCGUAUUCUCCUUGAGCUAAGGUCACACAGACCUCGCCCAAUCACUCGUGGUAAGUCUUCAGGUGACUUCCGAACCUUCACAAACUCGGUCACUCGGCGAUCCACAAUUCCUCUUGGAUGCUCUAGACCAUGAUGCCUAACCGUCUGGAAGAAGCACAGUCUUCAAAGGUAACAAGCGUCGGAUCCACGCAGGAUCAAUCUCUUCAGUUAUGCUCAAUCACUUUGGGUUUGUAGGUGUUUGGGUUUGGGUUUUCCUCACUCGAUGAUUUUCGCUCAAAGUCCUCGGAGGAUGGGAUGCUCUUGAAUGACAAGUGUCAGUUUCUCUCGGAGCAGCCAACCAGCUAGUGGUUGUAGGGGCGGCUAUUUGAAGCCUAGGGAGCAGCCCGACAUGAUAAGACAUAAAUGCCCUUCAAUGAUAUGACCGUUAGGUGGGUAGAUAUUUUGGGACAGCUGGCGCAUAGCACAGCAACGGUCGGAAAUUUGAGUAUCAAAUUCCUCAGGGCUAUCAUGAUCCUCAGUGUGUAGGCAAUCCGCACUAGCGAAUUCCUAACUCCUCAGUCAGAACAAAUUUCUCAGCGACUAGAAGAACUUCGUCUCUGUCACUGAAGAAAUUGACUGAACUGUAUGAGAUUUCCAAUGGCUUCACUCGAAGGGAUUGGUAGGGGUAGGAUUUUGAGUUGAGCAUCACUUGGAAAUUUUUCCUUAGUAUUUCCUCGACCCCCUUUAACAGUACGGUGUUUCCUAUGACUCAAGAAAGAGAAAAUGAAACUAUGAAAACAAAAUUCUUCACGCUUCAUGUUCCUCAAAUGAAUACCAAGUCUUCAAGGUCACACCAAUUUCUUCACUUUCAAAGUCUUCAGAAAUCCAAAGUCUUCACUCGAAGAACUUCAUUUUUAGGGGUCGACUUUCUUUGUAAAUAUCAAACUCCUCAUAGACUUAUAGACCUGUGUACACUCAUAAACACAUUAGUCUCUUAACCUAUAAGUCUUCAAUACACCAAAAUCACUAAGGGGCACUAGAUGCACUUACAAUACCUAUAAUUUUUUAUUGUUCCAUGCUAUUAUAUUAUCUGUUUUGGAUGUUUAAUAGGCUUUAUUAUGCACUUUUAUAUUAUUUUUGGGACUAACCUAUUAACCGAAAGCCCAGUGCAAAUUGCUGUUUUUUUUUGCCUAUUUCAGUGUUUCGCAGAAAAGGAAUAUCAAACGGAAUCCAAACGGAAUGAAACCUUCGCGAGGAUCGUUUUUGGAACAAACGCAAUCCAGGAGACUUAGAGUGGACGUCAAGGAAGCAACGAGGCGGCCACGAGGUAGGAGGGCGCGCCCCCCACCCUCGUGGGCCCCUCGUGGCUCCACCGACCUACUUCUUUCGCCUAUAUAUACUCAUAUACCCUGAAAACAUCCGAGAGCACCACGAAACCCUAUUUCCACCGCCGCAACCUUCUGUACCCGUGAGAUCCCAUCUUGGGGCCUUUUCCGGUGCUGUACCGGAGGGGGAAUCGAACACGGAGGGCUUCUACAUCAAUACCAUGGCCUCUCUGAUGAUGCGUGAGUAGUUUACCACAGACCUUCGGGUCCAUAGUUAUUAGCUAGAUGGCUUCUUCUCUCUCUUUGGAUCUCAAUACAAAGUUCUCCUCGAUUCUCUUGGAGAUCUAUUCGAUGUAACUCUUUUUGCGGUGUGUUUGUCGAGAUCCGAUGAAUUGUGGGUUUAUGAUCAAGAUUAUCUAUGAACAAUAUUUGAUUAUUCUCUGAAUUCUUAUAUGCAUGAUUUGAUAUCUUUGCAAGUCUCUUCGAAUUAUCGGUUUAGUUUGGCCUACUAGAUUGAUCUUUCUUGCAAUGGGAGAAGUGCUUAGCUUUGGGUUCAAUCUUGCGGUGUCCUUUCCCAGUGACAGCAGGGGCAGCAAGGCACGUAUUGUAUUGUUGCCAUCGAGGAUAAAAAAGAUGGGGUUUAUAUCAUAUUGCUUGAGUUUAUCCCUCUACAUCAUGUCAUCUUGCCUAAUGCGUUACUCUGUUCUUAUGAACUUAAUACUCUAGAUGCAUGCUGGAUAGCGGUCGAUGUGUGGAGUAAUAGUAGUAGAUGCAGAAUCGUUUCGGUCUACUUGUCACGGACGUGAUGCCUAUAUACAUGAUCAUGCCUAGAUAUUCUCAUAACUAUGCGCUUUUCUAACAAUUGCUCGACAGUAAUUUGUUUACCCGCCGUAGAAUUUGCUAUCUUGAGAGAAGCCACUAGUGAAACCUAUGGCCCCCGGGUCUAUUUUCCAUCAUAUUAAUCUCCCGUCAACUAGAUAUUUUUGUCGCCGUUUAUUUUUGCAAUCUUUACUUUUCAAUCUAUACAACAAAAAUACCAAAAAUAUUUAUCUUAUUAUCUUUAUCAGAUCUCACUUUUGCAAGUGGCCGUAAAGGGAUUGACAACCCCUUUAUCGCGUUGGUUGCAAGGUUCUUAUUUGUUUGUGCAGGUACAAGGCGACUUGCGUGUAGCCUCAUACUAGAUUGAUACCUUGGUUCUCAAAAACUGAGAGAAAUACUUAUGCUACUUUGCUACAUCACCCUUUCCUCUUCAAGGGAGAACCAACGCAUGCUCAAGAGGUAGCAGCAAGUGAGCCCGUUGGGGCUCAAACUCGGAGUGGAGAUGAGAUAAGAACUCAUGAACCCUCUGAAACUCCAAGUCAGACCGCGUAGUCUGACAGCAACGACAAGUGCUACAAACAACUGUCCGCAGUGAGUCAAGCUGACGCCAGAUGGCAAAGCACUGUGAAUAAAGCUCAUCAAUAGACGAGUCACCCUGCUGAAGAGCAUGCUCCUGACGCACCACAGAAAGGUAUAGAGCAUCGCCAGAGGGCUGAUAGCGCUGACAAAGAUAGGAUCACAUCGCUGCAACAGUGCCGAGGCCCAUAAACUCCGAAGCAAACUGAGGGAGGACACUCGCAGUGAGAACAACAGCAGCUCGAGCAUCAUCAUUGCACCACCGAGUGUAAGCAGACAGAUCAUCCCGGUAGACAGAAAGAGCAUCAGAAUAUGCGGAUACCUGCUGAUCAUAGGCAUCAACGGCAGCAUCAUCAAGAGCCUUGGCUGCAUCCCGAUCAGCCUGAGAAGCAUCAGCAGCAAGCACUGGCGGUACCGGCGGAACAGGAGCGACAGGGCAGGACGGACAGGGUACCUCGCCAGAGAGAACGCCCCAUAGAAGAAGACCGCGCAUGUGGAUACGCAUGAACCCCACAAACUCAACAUAGUUGGUGUCAUCGAAGAUCACCGAGCACCGAGGAACCGCAACAUAGCCCGAGGAGGACAUGAGGAAGUCACUCUGAUGUUGCUGCUUUUUUUUGGAGUCAACUGCUACUGUAGCCCGAUCUGGAUCGGGAACCAGCAGCGCUCGAGGAAAGAGAUCGAACCAGUAGCGCUCGCAGGAGCAGGAGGUAGGCAGGGGCGGCCAGGGAGGACCGAAGCAGGGGAGGAGAGGCCGGGGACGGCCAAGCAGGCGGCAGCUGCGGCCGGACGAAGCAGCAGGCCGCGGCGGCUGGACGAAGCAGCCAGCAGCAGCUGCAGGACGAGGCAGAGAGCGGCAGGUGCCUGACGAGGCAGCUAGCAGCAGCUGCAGGAGAGGCAGCCGACGGCAGUAGCUGGGUGAGGUAGUCAACAGCAGCUACAGGAGAAUCCGGGCAGAGACUGCCAGCCAUGGGCGGAGAGAGUCGGCGACGAGCGGAUCUGGUUACGGGCGCAGCACGCACGGAGUUGCAUCGAGAGAGGCUAACCUAGCAUCUGAUACCAUGUUGGAUAAUGAGCAACUAGUAUUCACUGAGGGCCAGAGGCCAUUACAUAUACAUGUGUGGUAAAGUGCAGGAAACCCCUUAUGCAAUGGGGAUAUACCGAAAAGAGACUAUACACAUCUAAUAAAGGCAACAUUGUACACCAGUUAUUCUCUUGCUGCUGUUUUUUUUUUUUGCGAGGAUUCUCUUGCUUCUGUUAAUACAAGGAAAAACCAAUUAUUAGCCGGAUGAUGUUCAAGACUGGAAUAAAAAUAAAGAUGUUACCCACAUGAUAACUCGAUAUUUUAUUUGAGUUUUAGAAACAGACAUAGAUGGACUAUCAUAGUAGCUUUUUCUAUCUGUUCACUCCAGAAUUUCCUUUGACUGGUUUCUCAAAACUAACAGCAGCUGCCGGCCUAAUAAAUAAAUUAGGAAGCCGAUGGUGUUUUUUAGGGAAUCUGGAGAAGUCUAGGCAUGUUAAGAGUUUGCCCAUCUUGCUUUGAUGGUGCACUGGGAGUUGUUUCAGACAUACAUGCAGUAGGUUUCACAGUAGAAUUGCAAAAUUAGUUCAGGAUGUAAACAACUAUUAUAUUAUAACAGAAUAUCAUCGUGUAUGCUCCGUAGGGAAAGAUUGAUGCUUCCACACGUUUACUCUUAUACUAUAAGUUUAUAUAUCUUUGCUUUAUGUUAUCGGCACGCUGCAUUGUGGAUGUGUUCGAAUGGAUCAGUAUUCGCUGCAUACGUUUUCAUGUCAAUUUAUGGAUCUCUGCUUACGGGGAGGAGAGAGUACUCUGAUCUGGGACUUCCAGACCAACAUGGCAUACACUGCUUGAAGAAUGACCAUAACUUAAAUGGCACAGCCAUCCUUUGUCACUAAAGCAAGUUAUAUGAUCACAUACAUAUAGUAACUGCUGGUGUUACCAUCUUACGAUACAAGGCCAAACAGCGAAGAAACGAGGACAACCAAUUAAACAUAACAGACUAAAACUACUCCCUCCGUCCCACAAUAUAAGACGUUUUUGCAAGCUGUUUUAGUUUGCAAGAACAUCUUAUAUUGUGGGACUGAGGGAGUAGCAUCCAAGCCCAAUAGAACAGAAAAUAAAAUACUGAUGAACCACUUCAAGCACGAUAGAACAGAAAAUACAUCAUGCAAGUUCAGAUAUAAAUCAUGAGCUUAGACACCACCUCCUUUGUCCUGGUAAAAUCCUGAGUGGGCCACAAAACAUUCCAUCACUAAAUGAAGUAGAACGCCGGGACAACAUUAUAGGCUAGAUAAAAUAGCUUGGGCUCUGAAAAGAAGGCAAGUCAAUUUUCAAGAUGGGCAUCAACUACAUCAGAGAAAGGCUUGGAGGCUUACUGGCUAGAACCACAGUUGGUGGUCUUGGCAGCCCAAGUUCUAAUUAAAUUUGGUAUAUAGCAUCUCCUAGGCCCUUCUCUUCACACGUUGAGCAUCCGCUGGAGGGCAAGUCAAAGGGGUCAUCCAUUGAGAAAUCAUGGGUAUCCCUGUUGUGUGUGAAAUCAUCGCUAGUGCCACAUCUCAUUUCAAUUCGAGCAUCUGGAGAAGCUCUACUUCUGACUCGUAGCAGGCUGAGUUGAUGAGCAAACCAUCCGUGCUGGCGGUGGUAAGGCAAUGUGAUUUUCAUUUCCUCUAGCCCUUUUGUAUUCAGAACAAAGAACCUGGCAAAGUCAACAUAUGAAGUCUUGCUGACGACAUAAUUCUUCAACACCACUUUUUUGAGAUGAAGCUCAAGACAUUCAAUUGGGUCCAGUGGGUCAUACUUCCGGGCAUUCAUAUACUCCCCUAGGUCGUAUGAGGGUAACCGGAACUGGAGAUAGAGAUAGAAAAAAAAACAAUACAAAAAAAAUCGCCGACUGGUUAGCAAUACAAUAGUUGGCUAGAUUACACGUCAAUCAAAUGCUUACACUGACAUUUAAAGCAAGAAACCAUGUUUUAUACUCACAAUGACAUACAACCUCUCCAAGCAAGGGAAGCACUUGAGGAAGUUAACCAUUGCAUCCAGAUUAGGGCCAGUAGAGCUGAGAGCCAAAACCCUCAUGGUGUGCAUUUUGGUUGCCAAACUGACAGCAACCCCUUUCUGCAGAACAAAGUGCAAAUAUAAGAACAAUAGCCUGCACAUAAGAAUGUCAAAUGCAAUUGAUGAAGGCUGCUGCUACCUGAAUAAUUGAACUCCCAAGUUGGAUUUUGUAUAUGAAUACAGACAGCAGCACACCCAAUAUCUCGAGUUUAGGCGCACAGAUUAUCCGUAUGAUCACUUUGCUACGCGUUGAGUUAAGUGGUAGCAAUCUCUCAAGGCACGGGGCAUCCUCAGUGACUAACUCUUGCAAAAGGACACCUCCACUCCACUUGUCAGCGCAAAAGGCCAAACUCCUAAGAGUUUGGGAGCUGAUGCAGAGGCGACCAAUGCCCGAAUUGUCCUUCAGCUCAAGGCUUUCCAAGGCAGUGCAGCCAGAGAGCAUGCUCUGGAGAACGUCCUCCGAGAUGGUGACCUUAUACAGGGUAGCUGCUUGAGGCACGGAAACUUCAGGGACAGCUGCGCAAACAAGUUACUCUUAGGGAAAUGGGAGCCGUGGAAUUUGGCCACGCGGAGAGUGGGCGAAAAGCGGAACACGGACAAUGGCAGCAGGCACAACUUGUCCCUGUUGCUGUGCCAGGACGUGUAGGUGAGCUCGAACUCCUCUAGGUUGUCCAGGGCUUGGGAACUAAGCCAGCCUUCGAUCUUGUCGUCGUUCUGAAAGAUGCGGACCGAGAAGCGGCGUGCAGGGCCAGGAUGCUCAGAGAGUAUCUUUGUAAUCAAUUCCUUGCUAUUGGGUCCACGGUCCACCUCGAGGUUCAGAGGAGCGGAGCGCCAGAGCGGACGCCACCGGCGGGAGAGGACCUGCGUGCGGGCACCUUCCUUGGUGGGAAGAAGUGAUACGAUGCUGCCGAGGACGGCGUCGGGGACGCGGCUUAUGUGAUCGACGCUCUCCCCAUCAACAUCAUCACAGUUGCUACUCCCCGGUGGAUCUUGGUCGUCGACAAGAUGGAACUUACGCUUCUUUGAAGCUUGCAGUGCCGUCGUCGCAGCAGCAACGUUAGCAGCGGCAGCAGCCACCGCCUCCCCUACAGCCGUCGCCAGAGCCGCUGCCUCCUUCGCGUUUAACGCCGCAGCCAAAGCCUUCGCCGCCGCCUCCUUGGCGGUCGCCGCUGCCUCCGUCGCAGUCGCAGCCGCCGCUGCCGCCUCCUUGGAAGCAGCCGAUGCCGCAGCAGCCGCAGCCAGCGCCGCCUCGUUGGCAGCCGCAACAGCAGCUGAGGCCGCCGCCUCCAUGGCUGGCGGCUUGGCGAGACGCCGUGGGAAUGGAAUGGUGUAGUGGGGGAAUGGGGAACUAAUCGAGGGUUUGGAACCGAGGGUUUAGAUUAUCUAGCGGAUCCCGCGAACCGGGUCAUCCGUCGCCAGCCCAAACAGAUCCAUCAAGUCGGGUCGUCCUGGAAUUUUUUUGGAUCCCGCAUUAGUGAGCCUGUUUCCUCCAUAUGUACGGGAACUCCCUUGAUUUUGUCAGAUCCCCUUUCGGUUGGCGCGAAUCACUUCCGACGGCUUCCGUUUCCCCCUUCCACGCGUCGCCGCCGCAAAUCGCCGCCGCUAGGUGUCGCCUCCGGCUACCCGCACCGCCCGAAAGCUCCACCGCCCCACGCCGCAUCCACUCCACCAACUCUCGGGUGGCGGGGGUGACCUUUCGCACCCGCGGCUCGACGUCACCACCGGCGCCAUGGAUCCGCACGGAAGCUCAGCACUUGGGAUCUUUCCUUGCGGAUCCGGGCAUUUCCGCCUACUCUGACCGAGGCGCAUCGGGGGAAGAGGGCGGCACGGCGCUGCUUCGGUCGAGGGGAGAAGAAAGGGGCUGGGCGACGUCUGGCGGCGGGAAGGAGAAAGGGGCGGCUCCGCGUCGGCCGACGGGGGGAGAAAGGGCAGCACGACGCGGUUUGUUCCGGCGAGGUAUGUAGGGGUGAAGCUCAUUCCGGCUAGUGCUCGAUUUUGGCCUGGAUUGGGUUCGUGUGUAGCUCAUUCCGGCUUGUGUGCACAUUUUAGAUGGAUUGGGUUCUUCCUCGUCGUCUUCAUCCAACGAUUCAGACAUAGAAGAUUUGAUCCUCGACGACGACGAUGAGAAACUAGUGUUGGUGUAUCUCGUCAAUGAAUUUGAGGCGGGGCCGCCGAAAACGGCGUGGGUCGACGGUCGGCCGGCUAUGCAUUCCCCGCAACCAAGCUCUCGACGACAAAAUGCUCAUGAAUCACUAGUUCGCCGAGGUACCGACAUAUCCGGCUGACCUCUUUCAUAGGCGAUAUCGAAUGCGUAGGUCACUUUUCGUCCACAUCAUCAAGGCUUGCGAGAAAAAUUGUCGUUUCUUCACCCGGCGUAGGAAUGCCGCCGGGUUGAUUGGUUUUAGUGCAUAUAAAAAAAAUAGGGCAAUGAGAGUGAUUGCAUAUGGUGUUCCGGCCAACUAUGCGGAUGAAUAUCUUCGCAUUGGUGAGGAUACCACCAUAAAAAGUGUCCGUGUCUUUGCGAAGACAAUAAUCCAAGUUUUUGGCCUGCUGUAUCUUCGUGCUCCAAAUAAAGAUGACGUAAAGAAGCUCAUGAAAAUUAACCAAGCAAGGGGUUGGCCGGGCUUGCUAGGUAGUAGUAUAGAUUGCAUGCAUUGGAGGUGAAAAAACUGCCCAAUGGCUUGGGCAGGGCAUGUUGACAAGGAUUUUGACCAAGAUAAAACAAAAUGCAUAAUCCACAUAAAAUAUAAAUGCAAAACGGCAAAAUUCUGUUUUGUAAUUAAAAGAAUCAAUUAAAAAAUAUAAUCAGCCGCUCAAAUCGACGACCGACAAAUAAACAUUGAUAAUGCACACAAAUAAACAUUCAUCAAGUUUUGUCUUGUAUGUACGCGCAUCGUCGCCGACGGAUACUGAUCUAAAAUUUCAUCGUCAAAGACGACACCAAUAUUGUCGAAGCAUCGUGCAAUAUGACCCUCCAUCAAAAUAUCAUCGUAUCUUAACGAAUGCACACAAAAUAUAAUUUGAUAAAGAAAGCCAAUAAUAAGGUCGAUCCCUGCACAAAAAAGAGAAAAUAAAAAAACCGUUUUACAAUAAAAAGAAGCAAUUUAAAAUAAAUAAAUAAAUUAUAACCGCUCAGAGCGACAACGGUCGAAUUGACGGUAUUGCAAACAUUGGAAAAGGCCGAUAAACAUAAAAUACUCCCUCCGUUUCUAAAUACUUGUCUUUCUAGGCAUUUCAAAUGAUUAUCACAUACGGAUGUAUGUAAACAUAUUUUAGAGUGUAGAUUCACUCAUUUUACUCCGCAUGUAGUCACUUGUUGAAAUGCCUAGAAAGACAAGUAUUUAGGAACGAAGGGAGUAGUACGGAAGAAAUAAUAAUCAUCAAGUUUUUGUCCUAAGAAAAAUAUAUAGCAAGAGUUCCUAAAAAAAUAUAUAGCAAGAGGACACAUGGCCCGUAUACAUGUACGCCGUCACCAGCGGCGGAAUUUUAAUGUUCACACAAAUUUAAAUUGUGGUAGGCAGUGUCGAUAUUUCUAAAAUACUGAACCACCGAUUAAAUGCGGACAUUAUUUCAGCAAUGUUAACGAAAUGUUGUGCAACGCACAUAAAAGAAAAAUGCCCCAUGUGACGACAUAUUAAAAAUGCGUCUUAUGGAAAUAUUAGCGUAUAAUUUUUGCAUGUGUUUAUCUUAAUGUCACGCGAAUGAAAUAAGGUGAUCUAUUUCAACUAAUUAGGCUUAGCCCAUAAAACAAAUUGGCCACGUACAUGUGCUUGGUGGUUCACUUACACACGUACAUGCGCAUGUGUAGCCUCAGCCAUCAGCCCAAUCACACAUACAAGAGUAAAUGUAUUGACGCCCAGGACCCACGCAUUGACUAAAACACAGCCUAAUUAAGCCCAUAUUAGCUGAUGGGACGUUGCCGGAUAAUUAGCAAUUAAUUAAAAAGGGAAAGGAGCAGCCACGAUCCCAUGAGCAGCGGGGCAUGGGUGACGGCGUUGCAUUUGAAGCGAUGGAGGGGCGAUGACGGCGGUGCGCCUUCGGCUCGCUUCGGUGCUUGUAGUCGUCGCUAGGUGUUCUACGAAUUUGGAUGUAAUUUUUAUUUCUGGUAUUCGUUGUACUGCCAUGAUUGAAGAUGAAUAGAUUGGAAGUUUUUCCGCAAAAAAAUAAAAAAUAAAAAUUGAAGCGGGGAGGAAUCUGUGAGCAGGUUGUCGUUUGGAUGUACAAGAUCCAAUGUUUACAUUGUAGGUGAUCCUACGGAUUGCAAAGUGGCCCAUAGGUGGCAUCUCUCGGCCUUUAAUUUACCGCUUCCGUUUUAUAUCGUUGCUAUUUUCACAACUUGUUUGAAUAAAUGUACAAUAGCUGGAUUUUUCAGAAGAAAAUACCCUUUCCCUUCCAAAAUACAAGGUGUCCUAAUUUUUUGAAAAACCAAACUACUUAAACUUUGAUCAAUUUUGUUGAGAAAAAUACUAAUACAUGCAAUAUCAAAUCAGUACCAUUAAAUUGGUCAUGAUAUAUAUUUUCAUAUUUUGAAUGUAUUGUAGAUGUUGAUAUGUUUUCCUAUAAACUUAAUCAAACACAGAAAAUUUGGCUUAUGGAAAAACUGAUGCACCUUACAUUUUGAAUAGGAGGGAAUAGUAGGAGAUUUUCGCGGACAAGAUGAUCUAAACCACCUAUCUAUAUACAGGUUGGGGGUGCCACCAAGACGUGCAUCAGAAAAGAUAGUUUUAGAGCAAGAAAAGGGGAUGACUGACCAGAGACAGAUUAAGCAAGCCGGGAACUAGAGUUCAAUUCUCGAUGAUGAGCCGACACAGCAUUUGGCGAAAAAAGGCUGAAGCCUUGGGGGUGCAAUCUUUACAAGUCCUGAUUUCUGUUGCACUUCACAUAAAACCAGACAACAAUAUUUUGUUGGGUAAACGUGAUUUGAGUUGAGAAUAAUUAUAAUAGGCUGCUGCAAAUUCUGAGUUGUAUCUACAGAAUAACUAACUACUGCCACUAAUACAUAUCCUCCUGGAGACAAACAGCUCCAACUGUGGAACAUCAAAUUUACUAAUAGUACGAACUAAGCUGCUGCAUCAUAAUGCCUUCCCUGGUGAUGCACACGGCAGCAAGAAACUUUACUCAUCUGAUCAAUGAGCACAAAGCAAUUACAGGAAAUAGCACAAACGCCUCGGCAGGCAUUGCCGCAUCUCAUGGGUACUCUUACCUAUCACAAGUCUGAAGAUGAUGCAACAUUGUACACUUGUUAUUCUCUUGCUGCUGUUAAUACAAGGAAACAGAAAAUAACUAUUUUGACUUGGAUAGAAAUAAAGACGUUCCGGGUGAUAACUUGCUUUUUUUCGAGUUUUAGAAAUGGACUGUCAAUUUGGGAACUUGGGAGGAGUCUAGGCCUGCUAGAGUUUGUCGAUCAACUCGCUGUAUCUCAUUUCGGUGGUAGACUGGGAGCUGUUUCAGACCUACGUUUCACAGUAGAAUUGCAAAAUUAGUUUUUUUUUUCAAAACCGAGGCAAGAGAUUUGCCUCGUCUAUUAAAUAAGGGAGAGUAGAUUAGAGUUUUACAGCGACCACCUCAAACACGGCAUGCGAACUACUCACAAAAUACAAUAGGCCCUAGUUUCUUUGCACCAGCUGUAACCCAAAGCUUGGCCUCCUCAAGGAUUGUGUUAAGAAGAAUAGGCGGCGGAGCACUUUUGUGUCGGAACACCCUAGCAUUACGUUCAUUUCAGAUGGUCCAGGAGACGAGGAGUGUGAGGGAGGCCAAGGCACUCCUGUUGGGGACGUGUCUCCCAGUACCAUCUUUCCACCAAUCCAGGACGGAGUCAUGAAGAUGCCAUCCGGAGGUGUCAAUGUGAUGAAGGCCAAGCUUGGCCGCGAGAGACCUCCAAAGCCGAAUAGUGAAGCGACACUUGAAGAGAAGAUGAGCACCCGUUUCCUGCUCCCUAGAGCAAAGAGGGCACAGACCACAGUUGGCCCACCCGCGCCUCUCUAGGCGGUCCGCAGUCCAGAUCCUAUCUUGAAUAGCCAACCAAGCAAAGAAUUUGAUCUUCAGAGGAGCCCAAACUUUCCAAACCAUGCGAUCCAUUGGGGACAAGGUUAAGCCAAGAAACUGCGCUUUAUAAGCACUGGCUGCCGAGUACAUCCCAUCAUUGGAAUGCUUCCAGGUGAUGUCGUCCUCCCGAUGCUCCUCAAGAUGGACGUCAUCCAAAAGCAUCCAAAGAGUGAAAAACUCUCGAAUGUGGUCUCCGGUGACGAUGUUGUUGUAGUUGAUUUUGAAGAUCCAAGCGUCCUCUCUAACAGCCUCCCUGACCUUCCAAUUCUUCCUCCUGGAGGCCUCAUAGAUGAGCGGGGCGAUCUCCUUGGGCUUACGGCCAAGGAGCCAAGGAGAAUCCCAGAAAGGCGUUUUGGCUCCGUUGCCCAGAGUAAUGGUGGUGGAGGCAUAAAAGAAGUUGAGAUCGUCCUCCGUACAAGGGUUGCCAAAACCAACCCACAAUCUGUGGGGCUCCUUUCAUUCGUACCAAGGCCACCUAAGGCGAAGGGCACGCGCAAAUUUUUCAGAGUUAAGCACCCCAAGGCCACCAUACUCCUUCGGCCUACAAACCGUGUCCCACUUCACUUUGCACUUGGCACCCGUAGUCUUGUCAGCACCUGACCAGAGGAAAGCCCGUUCAAUCUUGGUCAGACUCCGAAGAGUGCUUUGAGGCACGACGAGCGGCGUGAUUGAGAACACCGCUUGGGAGCAAAGGACUGACUUGACAAGGGCCGUGCGCCCCAUAGUUGUGAUGUUUUGGCCUUCCCAAGUGACCAAUUUGCCGGCCGCCUUGUCUUCGAGAUACUGGAAAUCCACCCGCUUGAGUUGCCUGACCGAGAGCACGUAAACAAACGACUAUCACAAAACAUCAUCCAUACGAAAAGAUUGAUGCUGAUCAGUAUAUUUGGUAUCAUCUUAUAUAGGUUUUCAUGCCAAUUUAUGGAUCUCUGCCUAUGGGAUGGAGGCGGCUCUCUGCUUUGCGACUUCCAGACCAUACAUGUCGUACACUGCUUAAAGGGUGACACCGAGUUAAAUGACACUGCCAUCCUUUUUCACUAAAAAUACAGUUAUAUGAUACAUAAAGAUAGUAACUGCUGGUGUUACUAGCUUACGAUACAAGACCAAACAGCAAAGGAACGAGGAUUACUACCUAGACAUAACAGAUUAAAAAGUACUCCCUCUAACCCAUAUUAAUUCUCACAAACUUAGUACAACUUUGUACUAAAUAUGUGACAAUUAAUAUGGAUCGGAGGGAGUAGCAUCCAAGCGCAACAGAACGGAAAAUAAACCACUAAGGAACCCCUUCAGGCGCAAGCGCAACAGAGCAGAAAAUAAACUACUGAUGAACCGCUUCAAGCACGAUAGAACAGAAAACACAUUAUGCAAGUUCAGAUUUCAAGCCUGAGCUUAGACACCACCUCCUUUGUCCUGGUACAAUUCUGAGUCAAUCAUAAAACAUUUCAUCACUAAAUGAAGUACUCUCUCCGAACCAUAUUAAUCGACACACACUUAGUACAACUUUAGUAGUACAAAGUUAUACUAAGUGUACGUCAAUUGAUAUGAAUCGGAGCGAGUACGUCCUUUCUUACAGCAUCAGAAGGCUGGGACAAUAUUAAAGGCUAAAAAUAAAAGCUUGGGCUUUCAAAAGAAGGCAAGUCAAUGUUCAUUGUUCAAGAUGGGCAUCAACUACACCCGAGAAAGGCUUGGAGGCUUACUGGCUAGCACCACAGGUUGGUGGUCUUGGCAUCUCAAGCUCUAAUUAAGUUUGGUAUAUAGCAACUCCUAGACCCUUCUCUUUACACUUUGAGCAUCCUCUGGAGGGCAAGUCGAAGGGGUCAUCCAUUGACAAAUCAUGGGUAUGCCUGUUGUGUGUGAAACGAUCCUUAGAGCCACAUGUCAGUUCAAUUCGAGCAUCUCGAGAAGCUCUACCGCUGCGUCGUAGCGUAUCGAGUUUAUUAGUGCACCAUUCGUGCUGGCGGUGGUAAGGCAAUGUGAUUUUCAUUUCCUUUAGCCCUUUCGCAUUCUGAACAAAGAACUUUGCAAAGUCAACAGAUAAACUCUUGUUGCCGUCAUAAUUCUUCAACACCACUUUUUUGAGAUGGAGCUCAAAGCAUUCAAUUGGGUCCAGUGGGUCAUACUUCCGAGCAUUAUUCAUAACCUUUGAUGACCUCCAUGUGCCUGAGAGUGGCUGGAACUUUCUUGGCCGUUCUUGUUCGAGGUGCUCAAGGCCAAAGGUUUUGGGCAGAGGAUGAUCAAAUGGCUGUCAAUCCUUCUGCAAACUGCUUCCACUCGCAUCUUGGUCAAUGGGAUGCCGGGCAGAAGUAUCAUUCAUGCGCAAGGCCUCAGGCAAGGUGACCCGAUCUCCCCGCUGCUAUUUGUUAUUUCGAUGGACGCUCUCACAGCCACGGUUACUAGAGCUUCGGAGGUAGGAGUGCUCAGCUCUUUCAGAGGCAUCUCGAUAUACGCCGACGAUGUCACGUUCUUCAUCCGCCCAACGCUCCAAGACCUGCACUUUGUCCGGGAGGCGCUGCUAGUGUUUGGGACGGCCUCCGGCCUCAAGGUGAAUUAUGGCAAAUCGACGGCUACCGUCAUUAGAGGGGAGCAGGAGGAUAAAGACAGGGUGGCAAGCUUGCUGCAGUGCUCCCUCGCUGAGUUUCCUAUAAGAUAUCUUGGACUGCAACUUGCCACCCGUCAGCUGACUAGGAAUGAAUGGCAACCUUUACUUGAUAUGGUCAGGAAAAUGGUCCCGGGCUGGCAGAGAGGGGUUCAUCCAGAGGUCGGGUAGAUUGGUGUUGGUCAAAUCCGUUAUCUCAGCCAGACUAGUCCACCAAUUGCUAAUCCCGGAUGCACCUGAUUGGGUGUUCGAAGAAAUAGACACAUGGAUGAGAUCCUUCUUUUGGGCGGGCAAGGACAAAACAAAUGGUGGCCAAUGCUUGGUGGCAUGGAACACCAUCUGCAGGCCCACAUGCUUUGGUGGACUGGGAGUCAAAAAUCUGAAACUCCAAGCUCUGGCGCUAAGGGCUAGGUGGGAGUGGUUGAGCAGAGUUGACAAGGAGAGGCCAUGGAGCAAUCUUGCACUGACAGUUGAUACAGAUGCAAGAGCGGUGUUCGAUAGUUUGGUGGGAAUUGAGGUUGGACGAGGUGAUCGUGUUCUCUUCUGGAGAGACAGAUGGAUACAUGGGUUUAAAACUCAGGAUAUUGCCCCAAACAUUCAAGCCAUGGUUGAAACACGGGUGAUCAACUCACGCAUAGUCCAACAAGCGCUUACAGAUGACAGGUGGGGGCAGGACAUACAAGGGGACAUAUCUUUCAUGGCCCAACUGCAAUUGAUGCAUCUCAGACAUGCAAUUGCCACAACUCAGAGAGACCCCUUGGUGGAAGACAAGUUCACUUGGCCAUGCUCAGGAGAGGAGGGCACAUAUUCGGCAAAGGCCACUUAUGAUAGACUCUGCCAAGGAUUGACUCGAGCACCUGCGGCCACAUGUAUUUGGAGAAGCUAUGCACCGCUUAAACUCAAGAUAUUCGCAUGGUUGGCUUCGCAGCACAGGAUAUGGACUUCGGACCGGAGAGCACUCCAUGGUUUGCAAGAUCAACCCUCGCCUUGUUUCACCUGCCUGCAAAGUGAAGACAACGCUGAGCACAUCCUUGCUCAUUGUGUGUACGCACAGGAAGUGUGGUACACUUGCAUGGAUGAGCUACAACUACCAAUCACUAGACCGACGACUGAGGAUACCAUAGUGGAGUGGUGGAUCCAGACGCGUAGAAGCUUCCAUGGUAAGGAGAGGAGAGAAUUCGAUAGCCUGGUCAUAUGCACGGCAUGGGCGUUGUGGAAGCAACGUAAUGCCAGAGUCUUCAACAGGAGGGAGCAGCAAAUGCCGGCGAAAGACCUUGCCCGCAUAAUAUUAGAUGAUACUCCCUCCGUCCGAAAAUACUUGUCGAAAAAAUGGAUACAGAUGGAUGUAUCUAGAACUAAAAUACAUCUAGAUUCAUCCAUUCCUCAGACAAGUAUUUCCGGACGGAGGGAGUAUUAGAGAGUGGAACUUAGCGGCUAACGGUGUUGGUGGUUUACAACGUUUUGUGAGACAUUAGCUUAGCUUUUUGUGGAGUGGGUGCUCCCACGAUGAUGUUCGCAUCGCCGUGUGGACUCUUGUAAAUCUUGUUCUCUUCUUCUAUAAAAAUACGGUACGCAAUUGCGUACUCUCGAAAAAAAAUUGUUGGCUAGAUUACACAUCCAUGAAAUGCUUGUUUUGACAUUUAAUUUAAGGCAUGCAACAAUGUUCUAUACUCACAAUGACAUACAACUUCUCCAAGCAGGGGAAGCACUUGAGGAAGUUAACCACUUCGUCAAUAUUAGGGCCAGCAGAGCAGAGAACCAAAACCCUCAUGGUGUGCAUUUUGGUUGUAAAACUGACAUCAACCAUUUUCUGCAGAACAAAGUGCACAUAUUCUCUAAGAAUAAUAGCCUGCACAUAAGAAGGUGAGUUCGAAUGCAACUGCUGAAGGCUGCAGUUUAGGUGCCCGGAUUAUGCGUAUGAUCGUUGUGCCACACUUUGGAUCGAGCGACAGCAAUCUCUCAAGGCACGGGGCGUCCUCGAUGACCAGCUCUUGCAGAAAGACACCUCCACCACUCCACCGGUCAGCGCAAAAGCCUAAGGGUGCGUUUGGAUGCAAAGUAUUUUUGCAGUUUUUUGGAAAUACCGUGGUUUCAGAAAAAUACCAUGGUAUUAAAUACUUUAAGGUGUUUGGAUGAAAGAAAUACUGUAGUUUAAGAUACUGUGGUAUUUUUCAUACCGUGGUUUUCUUGCAGUAUCUAAAAAAGAGGUCCCGACCUCUUUUUUAAAAACUGAACCAAGCGAAAAGUCCGUGCCUCCAACUCCUCCUCAUUAUCUGUUAAUCGUAGUGUAACUUAUAUCCUGAUUAUUAGGCAUUUUUGGUUAGAUGAUUAACUUGUGUUUCGUUGGUCUCUCGAGUCCAUGUUCUUCUGUCCGUCGUUGCCAGCGAUUCCUCCGUCCGAUCAGGGAUCUAGCAUGCAUAUAGGGAGUCGCGUCGCGCUAGCAUCUAGAAGUGGCCGAGAGGACUUGGCUUGCCUGGCAUGGGUGCAUGCAUCAGCUAGCUUAAGUGUAGCUGAGUUAGUUGUAGUCAGUCAAAAAUUACAAGAAAACAACAUUUGCCAAACCAAUAGAUGGUUUCCGCAAAACAGAGAAAAACCAUGGUUUAGACAAACUGAGGUAUUGAUUGCCCUCGCGUUGAGAAACUGAGGUUUUGGAUUACCACAGUUUUAGAAAGACAGUGCUGCCAAACUUGCCAAACUAAGCUCCUAAUGGUCUGGGAGCUGAUGCAGAGGCGAGCAAUGCCCGAAUUUUCCUUCAGCUCGAGGCUUUCCAAGGCAGGGCAGCCAGAGAGCAUGCUCUGGAGUCUGGAGGGCGUCCUCUGAGAUGGUGACGCUAGCCAGGGUCAGCUGCUCGAGGCCCGGAAACUUGAGGGACAGCUGCACAAUCAAGUCGGGGAAAUGGAAGCCGUGGAAUUUGGCCACGCGGAGCGUGGACGAGAAGCGGUGCACGGACGAUGGCAGCAGGCACAACUUCUCCGUCUUGGCGAACAAGAGAUUGGGGGCGAGCUCGAGCUCCUCCAGGCUGUACAGCGCCUGGGAACUGAGCCAGCCUUCGAUCCUGUCGUAGCAGUCGUCGAUGUGGAGGCGGAGCGAGAAGCAGCGCGCGGGUCCAGGAUGCUCGGAGAGGAUCUUUGAAACCAAGCCGAUGGUCUUGAGUUCAGAGUCCACCACGAGGUUCAGAGGAGCGGAGCCGGAGAGCCAGAGCGGACGCCACCGGCGGGAGAGGACCUGCGUGCGGGCACCUUCCUUGGUGGGGAGAAGAGACACGAUGCUGCCGAGGACGGCGUCGGGGAGGCGGCUGAUGAGAUCAUCGUCGUCGCCGUCGAUAAGAUGGAACUUCCGCUUCUUGGAAGCCUGAAUCGCCACCGUCGCGGCCUCCCCUGUGGCCGCCGCCGCAUCCGCUGCCUCCUUCGCAUUUAAGGACGCAGCCGAAGCCUUCACGGCCGCCUCCGUCGCGGUCGCAGCCGCCGCCGCUGCCUCCUUCGCGGCAGCCGAUGCGGCAGCAGACGCGACCAGCGCCGCCUCCUUGGCAGCCGCCGCCUCCACCGCAGUCGAAGCUGCCACUGCCGCCUGCUUGGCAGCCGCAGAUGCCGCGGCAGAUGCGGCCAGAGCCGCCUCCUUGGCUGCCGCGACAGCGGCUGAGGCCGCCGCAUCCAUGGCUAGCGGCUUGGCCGGACGCUUUGGAAUGAUUUUUCUAGGGAUGUUGGUGUGGUAGGGGAAUUGGGAACGACUCGGGUGCUGGGAAGUGGGAACCGAGGAGGGUUUUUAUCAGCAUCGUCGUGUUUGGCUUUGGCAAUGAUUAAUCCAUCUGCCACCGUCCAAUUAAAUCAACGGUUUGGAUUUUUCUAUCUGAUGAGAGGAAAAGAAAUGAAAUGGAAGAUUUUGCGGGCAACGCAUGGCGUUUUCGCGCCAACUUGCUUUUCUAGGCGGCGGGCGCAGCUAAUAAACCAAAAAAAAAGCACUUAGAAGAAGUUUACAUUUAAGGAAGUUCAAUGUUUGACUCCUACCUUUAGCAUUUGCUCGAUUUUGUUUUUUUGUUAGGAUUUAAUUAAUCCUAUUAAUCCAUUCUUUUCCUAAUCAAGGCACUUGUCUCGUGUCUCUUCGGACGCACCCUUUCGAGGGCUAUAUAUAUGUGUAAUCCCAUCAUUAAUGAAAACAAUGAUUCACUUUUACUUCUGUAUGUCUCCCUCUCUCUCGUUUCUUUUCAAUACGUUAUCGGCACGCUCUCGGCAGAGCGACUACCGGCCUCACGGGGCGACACGGAACGGCGGAAGACCGAGGCCAGCGACGUCUCGAAGAGCAGCAGCGACGCUCCCCGGCAGACGACGCGCCCUCGUCUUGCAUCUGGCGCAGAUCGGCAGGCCUCGGCCAGUCCUCGACAGCGAUGCCCUUGGUCCCGUCGCUACUCCCGGCGAGGCCCUUCCCACGCGCGGGGCCCGCGUUACUCAGCGGCGGCCACGGCCAUGACCAAUCCCGGUGCGGCGCGCAGCCCCGCAUCGGCGGCAGUGCCUGCGACCGGCCCUCCACCCCGACUCCAUGCCACGACGCCCCCCAGCAACUCCAGCGAUUUUCAACUCGAACGAACUCCAAGGGAGGAAAAUCCUGAGGGGAAGAAGAACUGAAUCGGAGUCAAGCACCACCCAUCAGCGUCUUCGUCUAAUAAACAAGGUGCUACUUUACUAAUUUCGUUCCUGGUUAUAAAAUAAUUGCUUUCCCAUGAACAGGAAGCCAUGAAGCAAGUCUUACCCCAGCGAGGCCCAUGCCUGGUGCUCGAGUCCACUGCCAACGGCAGCGCUCGGCGUCGCCUUGGCGCACAACGUCGGAGGCGGCUCCUUGCGGGGCAGCGCCCUCCGGCGCACGGCUCCCAGCCCGGUGAUGCUUCUCGUCCCUCCAACGCUAGGCACGGCGACGCUCCCAUCGGCGCGGCUCCAAUCGACGGAACCUGCGCAUGGCGGUGCCCGCGACCACGGCUUAUGGCACACGCCGCUGCACCCUCGAUCUGUAGAGAGGCGCGGAGCAGUGGACCAUGGCGCGGCUGUAGGGCUUCAACUCCCCAACGAGCGGCGCCCUCCGGCGUUGCUGCUCGGGGCCACGGCCCCUCCCGUGAAGGAGAUGGGACGGCCAGACAGCGAUGCCCUCAGGCGCGCGCGACGUGGCCUGGCCCUCCAGCGCGGUACCCUCUGCGGCGUCGACAGAGCGGUUCCGUAUAUACAGGCGAUGCGGCGCUGCUAGCGCAUGGCACGGCGGUGCACAGUGCGACCGUCUCCCGGCGGUGGCGGUUAUCAGGGACUGCACGAGAAAAAAAAAGAGAACCUUAUCUCUUCGGCAGUUUUCACUUCAGACAUUGUGGUUUCCUAUAAUCACAAAUGACUGCCUACAAUUCUCUCACGCAUGAUAGCCUAUUUUUCUGUUGAGUUUUAACAUUCCAGAAAAUAUAUGGUUAUUGUAUGUGGCAUGUUCAAUGUGUUUGCUUUUAGCAAUUCCUAUAACAUGUUCCAUUAGUACAAUGACAUUGUUUUGUGAUUGAGAUUAAGUUUUCUCGCACAACAUUUGUUAUUGAGAAAUUUUCUUUUUCUCGCAAAAUAAUCUCAUUGCGGUUGAGAUCAGUUUUCUCUCGCAAAAUAUUAAUUCACUCUGCUGAAUUAUCUUGCAAUUUGAUACAAGAUCUCAUUUAAUUUGAUAUCUAUACAAUUCAAGUUUUUCACUUGAGGAUCAAGUUUGCAACAUCAUUAUUAUUCAUUACACUAGUAGUAUUUUUCUGUUGAGUACCAAGAUGUAUUCCAGAUCUUAAGUUGAUGUAAUACAUUUCCACGUUUAUCACGUGUUGAGAUUAAUUACGUCCAUUGCAAUAGAGAUUUUUAAUCUCUUGCAAAGAUAAAUUCAGUACCUCUGUAGUACUGUUUCUCCGUUGAGUACGAGGUAUUCCGGAAUAUUUCUAUAAUGUAUAUAUUUCCGUGUUCGCCACAUGUCGAGAUUAAUACGUCUAUUUGCAAUUGAGAUUUCAAUUUCUUGCAAGUAUGGAUGCAAAAUUCAAAGUGAUUACUUCAAAUUGAUGUAUUGGGAUCACAAGGUAGUGUGUAGAUCUACUACUUUGCAGAUUAUCACCACUACUCUUUAAGCCUACAUUUUGUCAUUUGACACUAUGAUUGCUUUACAAAGUGCUCUCCCAUAUAUUUUUACUAAGUCGUGACAUAAGGCAUUAGGAGUGAGUAUCUACUGAUUUCAUUAGAUUAUACUUCCUAAUGCUGCGAGAUCUACUCCAGUUUGGAGAUUAUCUUCAAGGUGUCAUAAUUAGCAAUUUGAGAUUCACACUAAUGGUUUCAAGCCAACUUCUUGAAACUAUAUCAAUUUUGCAAAUUUCAUUACAACAUUAACCAUGAUGGUCUUUAAUUUACUUGUUGUAAAUUAAUUAUCUCUGGUAACCAAUGACUAAAGAAUUUGAGGCAUUCGCCCUCAAUGGCCACCACUGCCCUAUCUGGGCCAUGGACAUCGUGCUUGCUCUUGUGUCUCGUGGGAUAAUGUGUGCAAUCCUGGAUUCACCUCUAGUCAGGGUCACACCGCUGACAGAAAAAUGUUGUCUUAUACAUUAUAAGGCAUUAGAUUCAGAUAUCAGCAUCUGGUUAUUCUGUAUCAGCAAUUCUUGGGACACAAUGAACUCAAGGGCAAAGGUUUGUAGAUCACUUCAACCUUCAACCCGACAUCACCAGUGAUGACGGGAUCCUAUGGACACGGAGAACGUGUGGUUGAAUAUGACUCAACUAACAUGUUUGAAGACAUUGUUUAGUCUCUCAAUCUCCUGAGUGGUCAACAUGAUUUAUGUCCAUUUACGAUGUCCUAAUAAGAACAUAAGUAUUGUUGUCAUCAUAUAUUGUAUAUCACAAUAUAUUGUAUCAGCACUUUGGUACAAGUACAUUAUUAUGUAUUCUAUAUAUCUGAGUGAUUUUCCUAUUGAGAAUCUUCAUGUCUAUAUAUAGAUUUCUACGGGGGUCAAUCUGAUGAAAGAUGAUAUAUGCCUUGUGGACAUAUGCACCACAAGCUCUAUACUCAGGGAAGUGAAAUGUUUCCACUCUCGUUGAGACAAAGGAGAUAUUUUAAAAUCGCUAGACGCGAUGAGGUAUUUGUUGGCUCAACUCGAGUCAUAUUUACUAUCCCUGUGGGUACUCAAGUAAUGUCAGGAUGCUUUAUUGCUUCCCGGUUUAACUAGUACCCUACUAAACUAUAGAGGUAUCCGUCAAAACAGUUUCCAUAGAGAAACUUAUGAUGACAAGAAAGAGAAAUAACUUCUCUUUACCAUAUGCAACGGAUAUGGCGAGCACAUUCUCUGUGUAUCAUCUGCAUUGUACUACACAUACGACGCAACCCGUAGCACAUGUUGCGUACGAAAUAGUUUCCAGAGUGUCUUGUACAUGACAAACUUGGCAUACUCGCCUUGGUCAUCGAGACAUUGGGUUGAAACCGAAACUAUCAGCAAUUCCAUUAGUUUAUGAUUAUUAUGAUGCUAAAUUCUAACAACAUUUGGAUUUUAUGUGCACUACAAGUGACACAAGGAAGCUAAUUUUAAGGCUCACACACCUUAAAGUCUACGCUGAACCACUCAGACUCCUUGAAUGCAUCAAGUUGAGGUAAGUGGCUCUUCCCAUCCAUUGACUAGACUAUUCAGGUAUUCCAUGGUUCUAAAAGACAUAUCUACAUGAUGGUCUUAAGUGUGUGGUUUAUUCAGACAAAACCAUUGGCUCAUUAUCCUGACAUCGAUUUCAAGCAAAUCGAAUGGAUAACAUUGCAGAAUUCUCCUUGAGUGCCUUCUCUAUGGCCCUUGGAUUGAAGUUUAGCAAUUUGUCCUAAUGUCUAGACUCAAGAUGGUUUGGUAGAAUCCUAUAUCCAAAGAAUUAAGCUCAUUGCAUUAUCUUUACUUUGGAAUUGCAACUUACCAACUUUACGAUGGAGUCAUGGAGUUUUACACGCUCAUGACCGAACUGCAUAAUAUUAUUCCCCUCUAUCUUUGAUACGUGGAAAUAUACCAAGUAUUUCCCAUCUGCGGUAAUUCGGUUCCUUACCGAUAUCACCACCCGGCAUACAUCAUUGGCCCCUCAACAUAUAGUUGGGAUCUAUGUGAGGAGUAACUGUAUUUCCGUCAAUACCUCAAGCCCCUCACAUGGGGAGUUAUUCAAGGCCAGUAUGCUGAUUCAAUGAGGAACAUUUCCAGGCAUUAGGGGGAGAUUUCAAGUACCAUAAAGAAUGCCAGGAAAUUAGUGGAAUGUUCAACACAUUUCUGCCUCAAAUCCACUUACUCAAAGAUCUGAACUAUGUGUUCAGAAGAUUUGCAAUACAUUGCAAAUAACCUGCCAGAUUCAUUUACUGACUAUAAAGGUAUCACACAAUCCUACAAUCCUGCAAUAGUGCGCCUGAAAGAGUGGAGGUACCAACAAAAUCCACUCGACUUCCCGUUCAAAGCAACAUGGGGAGAUGUAUGGCAGAAGUACAUCAGGAUUCAGCUUCUCGCAAGUAAGGAUAUCAAGACCAGUGAAUCAGUAAAUGCAAGUCAGCUUCACGUUGGCAGACAACUAAUGGGUAGUAUACACCCAGUGGAUGGGAAACCUCCACCAGCCCAGGUCAUAGUGCACACAAUGACCGGGACAUCGGAAUACCCGACUCAGUCGCAUUGGGAAAUCGCGAGCAGUCGUCAUGGGUAACGAUAUUUCCAUCAACUAUAUAUCGAUAUAUAGAUUCUGGAGAAUCAAAUAACCAGAAGUAUACAAUUGUCGACAUACAUUUCUCAACUAGAUUGCAAAAACCUUUCAAAUGAUUCAGAUCCAAAGACCAUGGCCAUGGCAAAGUGUGAACAUCACUCGGACUGAACUCAAGCAAAGGGUAUUAUCUAGAUAGAAAUGAUCUUGCUCAAUAAUGGGAAGGUAUUCAUAAGCAAUACCUACACCAGUUUUCUUCUGGAAACAGAAUUGAGAACAACGAGGUGGUGAAACAAAGAGCAAGUAUUGUAGCACAAGGGUUCACGCAGAUACCCAACUAUUCUCCAGAGGUGGAAUCUCAUUCCGAUAACUUAUAUCAUUGGCAGUACAAAAUCAUCUAUCUCUGCAGUUGAUAGAUGUAGUGAUUACAUAUCCAUGUGAAUCACUAGAUUCAAACAUAUAUGAUUGAUUCCCGAUGGAACCUAAAUUCUGAAUCGAAAUACAAAAUGCAACAUACAUUGUGUAAAACUAGUAAGUCACCAUAAGACUUAUUGUGGUCGGUACAUAUGGUACAACCGACAUAGUGAGUUCCUUAUACAAAAGGAUUACUCCUGCAAAGAUGAUUAUCCAUGUUUGUAUGUCUGCAAUGACGACACAUGUAAUCAUCUAAUGACGGAGUUUAAAUGAAGGAUUUGGUUACACCAAAACACCGCUCGUUACUACAACUUGAGCACCUUCAUUCCUACAUUAUGGUAUACUAUGUUGUCUAUAUCCAAAAUAUAUUGGAGAAAUUCAUUGUGGACAAAUAUUAUCCAUCCAUAACUCUCAUGGUAGUUCAUGUUGGGAAUCGUAGCAUAAUUUAAAAUUUUCCUACGCUCACCAAGAUGCAUCUAUGGAGUCUACUAGCAACGAGGGGAAAGGAGUGCAUCUACAUACCCUUGUAGAUCGCGAGCGGAAGCGUUCCAAUGAACGUGGAUGACGGAGUCGUACUCGCCGUGAUCCAAAUCACCGAUGACCGAGUGCCGAACGGACGGCACCUCCGCGUUCAACACACGUACGAUGCAGCGACGUCUCCUCCUUCUUGAUCCAGCAAGGGGGAAGGAGAGGUUGAUGGAGAUCCAACAGCACGACGGCGUGGUGGUGGAUGUAGCGGGUCUCCGGCAGGGCUUCGCCGAGCUUCUGCGAGAGAGAGAGAGGUGUUGCAGGGNNNNNNNNNNNNNNNNNNNNNNNNNNNNNNNNNNNNNNNNNNNNNNNNNNNNNNNNNNNNNNNNNNNNNNNNNNNNNNNNNNNNNNNNNNNNNNNNNNNNNNNNNNNNNNNNNNNNNNNNNNNNNNNNNNNNNNNNNNNNNNNNNNNNNNGCUUCGCCGAGCUUCUGCGAGAGAGAGAGAGAGAGAGAGAGAGAGAGAGAGAGAGAGAGAGAGAGAGAGGUGUUGCAGGGGAGGAGGGAGGCGCCCAAGGCUGUAGGUUGCUGCCCUCCCUCCCCCCCCUUUAUAUAGGCCCCCUGGGGGGGCGCCGGCCCUGGAGAUGAGAUCCAAAGGGGGGGCGGCGGCCAAGUGGGGGGGAAGGGGUGCCUUGCCCCCCAAGGCAAGGGGGAAGCUCCCCCCUAGGGUUCCCAACCCUAGGCGCAGGAGGGAAGGCCCAAGGGGGGCGCCCCAGCCCACUAAGGGCUGGUUCCCUUCCACUUUCAGCCCACGGGGCCCUCCGGGAUAGGUGGCCCCACCCGGUGGACCCCCGGGACCCUUCCGGUGGUCCCGGUACAAUACCGGUAACCCCCGAAACUUUCCCGGUGGCCGAAACUUGACUUCCUAUAUAUAAUUCUUCACCUCCGGACCAUUCUGGAACCUCUCGUGACGUCCGGGAUCUCAUCCGGGACUCCGAACAACUUUCGGGUUUCCGCAUACAUAUAUCUCUACAACCCUAGCGUCACUGAACCUUAAGUGUGUAGACCCUACGGGUUCGGGACACAUGCAGACAUGACCGAGACGCCUCUCCGGUCAAUAACCAACAGCGGGAUUUGGAUACCCAUGUUGGCUCCCACAUGUUCCACGAUGAUCUCAUCGGAUGAACCACGGUGUCGAGGAUUCAAUCAAUCCGUAUGCAAUUCCCUUUGUCAAUCGGUAUGUUACUUGCCCGAGAUUCGAUCGUCGGUAUCCCAAUACCUUGUUCAAUCUCGUUACCGGCAAGUCUCUUUACUCGUACCACAAUGCAUGAUCCCAUGACUAACGCCUUAGUCACAUUGAGCUCAUUAUGAUGAUGCAUUACCGAGUGGGCCCAGAGAUACCUCUCCGUCACACGGAGUGACAAAUCCCAGUCUCGAUCCGUGCCAACCCAACAGACACUUUCGGAGAUACCCGUAGUGCACCUUUAUAGUCACCCAGUUACGUUGUGACGUUUGGCACACCCAAAGCACUCCUACGGUAUCCGGGAGUUGCACGAUCUCAUGGUCUAAGGAAAAGAUACUUGACAUUGGAAAAGCUCUAGCAAACGAAACUACACGAUCUUUUAUGCUAUGCUUAGGAUUGGGUCUUGUCCAUCACAUCAUUCUCCUAAUGAUGUGAUCCCGUUAUCAAUGACAUCCAAUGUCCAUAGUCAGGAAACCAUGACUAUCUGUUGAUCAACGAGCUAGUCAACUAGAGGCUUACUAGGGACACGUUGUGGUCUAUGUAUUCACACAUGUAUUACGAUUUCCGGACAAUACAAUUAUAGCAUGAAUAAUAGACAAUUACCAUGAACAAAGAAAUAUAAUAAUAACCAUUUAUUAUUGCCUCUAGGUCAUAUUUCCAACAGUCUCCCACUUGCACUAGAGUCAAUAAUCUAGUUACAUUGUGAUGAAUCGAACACCCAUUGCGUCCUGGUGUUGAUCAUGUUUUGCCCUAGGGAGAGGUUUAGUCAACGGAUCUGCUACAUUCAGGUCCGUAUGUACUUUACAAAUAUCUAUGUCUCCAUUUUGAACACUUUCACGAAUGGAGUUGAAGCGACGCUUGAUAUGCCUGGUCUUCCUGUGAAACCUGGGCUCCUUCGCAAGGGCAAUAGCUCCAGUGUUGUCACAGAAGAGAGUCAUUGGGCCCGACGCAUUUGGAAUCACCCCUAGGUCGGUAAUGAACUCCUUCAUCCAGACUGCUUCCUGUGCUGCUUCCGAGGCUGCCAUGUACUCCGCUUCACAUGUAGAUCCCGCCACGACGCUUUGCUUGCAACUGCACCAGCUUACUGCUCCUCCAUUCAAAAUAUACACGUAUCCGGUCUGUGACUUCGAGUCAUCCAGAUCUGUGUCGAAGCUAGCGUCGACGUAACCCUUUACGACGAGCUCUUCAUCACCUCCAUAAACGAGAAACAUAUCCUUAGUCCUCUUCAGGUACUUCAGGAUAUUCUUGACCGCUGUCCAGUGUUCCUUGCCGGGAUUACUUUGGUACCUUCCUACCAAACUUACGGCAAGGUUUACAUCAGGUCUGGUACACAGCAUGGCAUACAUAAUAGACCCUAUGGCCGAGGCAUAGGGGAUGACACUCAUCUCUUCUAUAUCUUCUGCCGUGGUCGGGCAUUGAGCCGUGCUCAAUUGCACACCUUGCAAUACAGGCAAGAACCCCUUCUUGGACUGAUCCAUAUUGAACUUCUUCAAUAUCUUGUCAAGGUAUGUACUCUGUGAAAGACCAAUGAGGCGUCUUGAUCUAUCUCUAUAGAUCUUGAUGCCUAAUAUAUAAGCAGCUUCUCCAAGGUCCUUCAUUGAAAAACACUUAUUCAAAUAGGCCUUUAUACUCUCCAAGAAUUCUAUAUCAUUUCCCAUCAACAGUAUGUCAUCCACAUAUAAUAUGAGAAAUGCUACAGAGCUCCCACUCACUUUCUUGUAAACACAGGCUUCUCCAUAAGUCUGUGUAAACCCAAACGCUUUGAUCAUCUCAUCAAAGCGAAUGUUCCAACUCCGAGAUGCUUGCACCAGCCCAUAGAUAGAGCGAUGGAGCUUGCAUACUUUGUUAGCAUUCUUAGGAUCGACAAAACCUUCCGGCUGCAUCAUAUACAACUCUUCCUUAAGGAAGCCGUUAAGGAAUGCCGUUUUGACGUCCAUCUGCCAUAUCUCAUAAUCAUAGUAUGCGGCAAUUGCUAACAUGAUUCGGACGGACUUCAGCUUCGUUACGGGUGAGAAAGUCUCAUCGUAGUCAACCCCUUGAACUUGUCGAUAACCCUUAGCGACAAGUCGAGCUUUGUAGAUGGUCACAUUACCAUCCGCGUCCGUCUUCUUCUUAAAGAUCCAUUUGUUUUCUAUGGCUCGCCGAUCAUCGGGCAAGUCAGUCAAAGUCCAUACUUCGUUUUCAUACAUGGAUCCUAUAUCGGAUUUCAUGGCUUCUAGCCAUUUGUCGGAAUCCGGGCCCGCCAUCGCUUCUUCAUAGUUCGAAGGUUCACCGUUGUCUAACAACAUGAUUUCCAGGACAGGGUUGCCGUACCACUCUGGUGCGGAACGUGUCCUUGUGGACCUACGAAGUUCAGUGACUUGAUCUGUAGCUUCAUGAUCAUCAUCAUUAACUUCCUCCCCAGUCGGUGUAGGCACCACAGGAACAUCUUCCCGCGCUGCGCUACUUUCCGGUUCAGAAGGGGUGACUAUCACCUCAUCAAGUUCCACUUUCCUCCCACUCAAUUCUUUCGAGAGAAACUCCUUCUCCAGAAAGGACCCGUUCUUGGCAACAAAGAUCUUGCCUUCGGAUCUGAGGUAGAAGGUAUACCCAAUGGUUUCCUUAGGGUAUCCUAUGAAGACGCAUUUUUCCGAUAUGGGUUCGAGCUUUUCAGGUUGAAGUUUCUUGACAUAAGCAUCGCAUCCCCAAACUUUUAGAAACGACAGCUUAGGUUUCUUCCCAAACCAUAAUUCAUACGGUGUCGUCUCAACGGAUUUAGACGGUGCCCUAUUUAAAGUGAAUGCGGCAGUCUCUAAAGCAUAACCCCAAAAUGAGAGCGGUAAAUCGGUAAGAGACAUCAUAGAUCGCAUCAUAUCCAAUAGAGUGCGAUUACGACGUUCGGACACACCAUUUCUCUGAGGUGUUCCAGGCGGCGUGAGUUGUGAAACUAUUCCACAUUUCCUUAAGGGUGUACCAAAUUCAUGACUUAAAUAUUCUCCACCACGAUCUGAUCCUAAGAAUUUUAUUUUUCUGUCACGUUGAUUCUCAACUUCACUCUGAAAUUCCUUGAACUUUUCAAAGGUUUCAGACUUGUGUUUCGUUAUGUAGACAUACCCAUAUCUACUUAAAUCAUCAGUGAGAGUGAGAACAUAACGAUAUCCUCCGCGAGCCUCAACACUCAUUGGACCACACACAUCGGUAUGUAUGAUUUCCAAUAAGUUGGUUGCUCACUACAUUAUUCCGGAGAACGGAGUCUUGGUCAUCUUACCCAUGAGGCAUGGUUCGCACGUGUCGAAUGAUUCGUAAUCAAGAGACUCCAAAAGUCCAUCUGCAUGGAGCUUCUUCAUGCGCUUGACACCAAUGUGACCAAGGCGGCAGUGCCACAAGUAUGUGGGACUAUCGUUAUCAACUUUACAUCUUUUGGUAUUCACACUAUGAACAUGUGUAACAUCACGUUCGAGAUUCAUCAAAAAUAAACCAUUGACCAGCGGGGCAUGACCAUAAAACAUAUCUCUCAAAUAAAUAGAACAACCAUUAUUCUCAGAUUUAAAUGAGUAGCCAUCUCGAAUUAAACGAGAUCCAGAUACAAUGUUCAUGCUCAAAGCUGGCACUAAAUAACAAUUAUUGAGGUUUAAAACUAAUCCCGUGGGUAGAUGCAGAGGUAGCGUGCCAACGGCGAUCACAUCGACCUUGGAACCAUUCCCGACGCGCAUCGUCACCUCGUCCUUUGCCAGUCUCCGUUUAUUCCGUAGUUCCUGCUUUGAGUUACAAAUAUGAGCAACCGCACCGGUAUCAAAUACCCAGGAGCUACUACGAGUACUGGUAAGGUACACAUCAAUUACUUGUAUAUCACAUAUACCUUGGGUGUUGCCGGUCCUUCUUCUUGUCCGCUAAAUAUUUGGGGCAGUUCCGCUUCCAGUGACCACUUCCCUUGCAAUAAAAGCACUCAGUCUCGGGCUUGGGUCCAUUCUUUGACUUCUUCCCGGUAACUGGUUUACCGGGCGCGGCAACUCCCUUGCCGUCCUUCUUGAAGUUCUUCUUACCCUUGCCCUUCUUGAACUUAGUGGUUUUAUUCACCAUCAACACUUGAUGUUCUUUUCUGAUCUCUACCUCAGCUGAUUUCAGCAUUGAAUAUACCUCGGGAAUGGUCUUUUCCAUCCCCUGCAUAUUGUAGUUCAUCACAAAGCUCUUGUAGCUUGGUGGAAGCGACUGGAGGAUUCUGUCAAUGACCGCGUCAUCCGGGAGAUUAACUCCCAGCUGAGACAAGCGGUUGUGCAACCCAGACAUUCUGAGUAUGUGCUCACUAAUAGAACUGUUCUCCUCCAUUUUACAGCUGAAGAACUUGUCGGGGACAUCAUAUCUCUUGACCCGGGCAUGAGCUUGAAAAACUAAUUUCAGCUCCUCGAACAUCUCAUAUGCUCCAUGUUUCUCAAAACGCUUUUGGAGACCCGGUUCUAAGCUGUAAAGCAUGCCGCACUGAACGAGGGAGUAAUCAUCAGCACGCUGCUGCCAAGCGUUCAUAACGUCUUGGUUCUCUGGGAUUGGUGCUUCACCUAGCGGUGCUUCUAAGACAUAAUCUUUCUUGGCUGCUAUGAGGAUGAUCCUCAGGUUCCGGACCCAGUCCGUAUAGUUGUUGCCAUCAUCUUUCAGCUUGGUUUUCUCUAGGAACGCGUUGAAAUUGAGGACAACGUUGGCCAUUUGAUCUACAAUACAUAGUGUAAAGAUUUUAGACUAAGUUCAUGAUAAUUAAGUUCAUAUAAUCAAAUUAUUUAAUGAACUCCCACUCAGAUAGACAUCCCUCUAGUCAUCUAAGUGAAACAUGAUCCGAGUUUAACUAGGCCGUGUCCGAUCAUCACGUGAGACGGACUAGUCAAGAUCGGUGAACAUCUCCAUGUUGAUCGUAUCUUCCAUACGACCCAUGCUCGACCUUUCGGUCCUCCGUGUUCCGAGGCCAUGUCUGUACAUGCUAGGCUCGUCAAGUCAACCUAAGUGUAUUGCGUGUGUUCCGAGGCCAUGUCUGUACAUGCUAGGCUCGUCAACACCCGUUGUAUUCGAAAUCUAUCACACCCGAUCAUCAUGUGGUGCUUCGAAACAACGAACCUUCGCAACGGUGCACAGUUAGGGUGAACACUUUCUUGAAAUUAUUAUAAGGGAUCAUCUUACUUACUACCGUCGUUCUAAGCAAAUAAGAUGCAAAAACAUGAUAAACAUCACAUGCAAUCAAACAGUGACAUGAUAUGGCCAAUAUCAUCAUGCUCCUUUGAUCUCCAUCUUCGGGGCACCAUGAUCAUCUUCGUCACCGGCAUGACACCAUGAUCUCCAUCAUCAUGAUCUCCAUCAUUGUGUCUUCAUGAAGUCGUCACGCCAACGAUUACUUCUACUUCUAUGGCUAACGCGUUUAGCAACAAAGUAAAGUAAUUUACAUGGCGUUAUUCAAUGACACGCAGGUCAUGCAAAAUAAUAAAGACAACUCCUAUGGCUCCUGCCGGUUGUCAUACUCAUCGACAUGCAAGUCGUGAUUCCUAUUACAAGAAUAUGAUCAAUCUCAUACAUCACAUAUAUCAUUCAUCACAUCUUCUGGCCAUAUCAUAUCACAUAUAUCACUUGCUGCAAAAACAAGUUAGACGUCCUCUAAUUGUUGCUGCAAGUUUUUACGUGGUUUGAAGGUUUCUAGCAAGAACGUUUCUUACCUACGUAUGACCACAACGUGAUUUGCCAAUUUCUAUUUACCCUUCAUAAGGACCCUUUUCAUCGAAUCCGUUCCGACUAAAGUAGGAGAGACAGACACCCGCUAGCCACCUUAUGCAACUAGUGCAUGUCAGUCGGUGGAACCUGUCUCACGUAAGCGUACGUGUAAGGUCGGUCCGGGCCGCUUCAUCCUACAAUGCCGUCGAAACAAGAAACGACUAGUAGCGGCAAGAAGAAUUGGCAAACUCAACGCCCACAACUGCUUUGUGUUCUACUCGUGCAUAGUAACUACGCAUAGGCCUGGCUCAUGAUGCCACUGUUGGGAAUCGUAGCAUAAUUUAAAAUUUUCCUACGCUCACCAAGAUGCAUCUAUGGAGUCUACUAGCAACGAGGGAAAAGGAGUGCAUCUACAUACCCUUGUAGAUCGCGAGCGGAAGCGUUCCAAUGAACGUGGAUGACGGAGUCGUACUCGCCGUGAUCCAAAUCACCGAUGACCGAGUGCCGAACGGACGGCACCUCCGCGUUCAACACACGUACGGUGCAGUGACGUCUCCUCCUUCUUGAUCCAGCAAGGGGGAAGGAGAGGUUGAUGGAGAUCCAACAGCACGACGGCGUGGUGGUGGAUGUAGCGGGUCUCCGGCAGGGCUUCGCCGAGCUUCUCCGAGAGAGAGAGAGAGGUGUUGCAGGGGAGGAGGGAGGCGCCCAAGGCUAUAGGUUGCUGCCCUCCCUCCCUCCCCCCUUUAUAUAGGCCCCCUGGGGGGGGCGCCGGCCCUGGAGAUGAGAUCCAAAGGGGGGGCGGCGGCCAAGUGGGGGGGAAGGGGUGCCUUGCCCCCCAAGGCAAGGGGGAAGCUCCCCCCCUAGGGUUCCCAACCCUAGGCGCAGGGGGGAAGGCCCAAGGGGGGCGCCCCAGCCCACUAAGGGCUGGUUCCCUUCCACUUUCAGCCGAUGGGGCCCUCCGGGAUAGGUGGCCCCACCCGGUGGACCCCCGGGACCCUUCCGGUGGUCCCGGUACAAUACCGGUAACCCCCGAAACUUUCCCGGUGGCCGAAACUUGACUUCCUAUAUAUAAUUCUUCACCUCCGGACCAUUCCAGAACCUCUCGUGACGUCCGGGAUCUCAUCCGGGACUCCGAACAACUUUCGGGUUUCCGCAUACAUAUAUCUCUACAACCCUAGCGUCACCGAACCUUAAGUGUGUAGACCCUACGGGUUCGGGAGACAUGCAGACAUGACCGAGACGCCUCUCCGGUCAAUAACCAACAGCGGGAUCUGGAUACCCAUGUUGGCUCCCACAUGUUCCACGAUGAUCUCAUCGGAUGAACCACGGUGUCGAGGAUUCAAUCAAUCCGUAUGCAAUUCCCUUUGUCAAUCGGUAUGUUACUUGCCCGAGAUUCGAUCGUCGGUAUCCCAAUACCUUGUUCAAUCUCGUUACCGGCAUGUCUCUUUACUCGUACCGCAAUGCAUGAUCCCGUGACUAACGCCUUAGUCACAUUGAGCUCAUUAUGAUGAUGCAUUACCGAGUGGGCCCAGAGAUACCUCUCCGUCACACGGAGUGACAAAUCCCAGUCUCGAUCCGUGCCAACCCAACAGACACUUUCGGAGAUACCCGUAGUGCACCUUUAUAGUCACCCAGUUACGUUGUGACGUUUGGCACACCCAAAGCACUCCUACGGUAUCCAGGAGUUGCACGAUCUCAUGGUCUAAGGAAAAGAUACUUGACAUUGGAAAAGCUCUAGCAAACGAAACUACACGAUCUUUUAUGCUAUGCUUAGGAUUGGGUCUUGUCCAUCACAUCAUUCUCCUAAUGAUGUGAUCCCGUUAUCAAUGACAUCCAAUGUCCAUAGUCAGGAAACCAUGACUAUCUGUUGAUCAACGAGCUAGUCAACUAGAGGCUUACUAGGGACACGUUGUGGUCUAUGUAUUCACACAUGUAUUACGAUUUCCGGACAAUACAAUUAUAGCAUGAAUAAUAGACAAUUACCAUGAACAAAGAAAUAUAAUAAUAACCAUUUAUUAUUGCCUCUAGGGCAUAUUUCCAACAGUUCAUUCUCUAGACGUAGAGAAAGACUUAUUUAGACCAAGAGAUGAUGGAAAUGAGAUAUUGGGACUCAACGUUCCAUAUGACAUUGGAUCGACCAAACACAAUUGGUUGAUACUCAAGAAUAUCUUUUGAUAUCUCCAAGGCAUGAAACAUCUUGUCCUGGUUUUUCAGUUUGGAGAAAUCUGAACACCAAUAUCAUUGGAUACAUCGAUCGGAUCCCCACUAUGUCAGAUCAUAGACAAAUUUAGUGUUCCUACUAGGUGUGGUAGCCUUCUCAUGAAGAGUCUUCAAAACAGACCUCAUGGCUACAUUCACCAACCAUUAUCUUAACGAUAAUGUUUCUUGUGUUGCUCGGAUGCAAACAGGUUACAUAAUAAGAAAUAUCACUAUAUUGCAUAUCUUGCAAGUUAAAUCAUGCGACUGAUUUGUUCAGCGGGUCUCUACCAACUUCUAUGUUUUGGUAUGUGACGGCUUCAAAUUUUGCAAGAAUCAGGUGGAGUAUCUUCCUGAAUUGUUCCUGUUCAAUGCAUCAUAUUAUACUCUUUUUUCCCUUCAUGAGUUUACUUUACAGAUUCUCAUAAAGGUUUUUAAUGAGGUAAUAUCAACAUGAGAUCAUAUGUCAUACUUUCUGUUUUCCCCACCGGGGUUUUUGGGAAAGUAUAUAUGACAUAUUUAUUAUCCUCUAAACUCUAUGAGUUUUCUCGUAUUGAGUGAAAAGAGACAAUGACCAUUAUAUGUUGUACCAUUUUCUCCUUAUUUUUUCCACUGGGUUUGAAGGAGUUUUAGCAACAUAUCAAACACCUAUCUCCUCAUAUUUUUCCCACAGGGUUUUUGGAGGAGCUUUUUCAAGAUGAUGAUACUUACACUAACAAGCAUGGAUUAGGGGGAGUGUUAGGAUUUAAUUAAUCCUAUUAAUCCAUUAUUUUCCUAAUCGAGGCAGUUGUCUCGUGUCCCUUCGGACGCACCCUUUCGGGGGCUAUAUAUAUGUGUAAUCCCAUCAUUAAUGAGAACAAUGAUUCACUUUUACUUCUGUAUGUCUCCCUCUCUCUCGUUUCUUUUCAAUAUUUUGGAAAGAAAUAGUGAUGGAAAGCGAGCUUUCAUAUCUUUUUUUGCGUGUGUGUGAACAAGUCAUUUUAUAAUUUUUCUUUGAUUAUAGGAGUCCCCCCUUCUCACGUGUCACACCUCUUGUGGUGGACCAGGGACUGGGACCCUAGUCCAGAGUCGGCCCCUCCACGCAACACCUUUGUUGUCGUCGGCUUCGGCCGUGGUGGCGGUGGUCCACGUUCCCAACUGGACGGGGGCUCGACGGUUGUCUCGGUGAGCUCUUAUGUGGUGGCAGUCGUCCUAGGCCAUGAAGAUGGUGUGACGUUUAUGCAUGGUGAUAGAGCGACCUGCAAAAUGAUGUCGAGAAGCUCCGGCGACCCUCAUUCUCACCACACCUGGCGGUGUUGUGGCUUCCCGGUCAUGGCGAAGAGAAGGUAGGCGAGGAAGGUGUAGAGUUGAUGGCGCUGCAACUGGUUGUGGUUGUGGUGGCUCUGGCCUCGACAUUACAAUGCUCGGCAACAGGUGUGUCUGUUCCCAAGGUCUCGUAUCUUGGUGUUAGCGGAGCUCAUGUCAACAUGGUUGGGAGGGGCCAUGCGACUUCUCUAUCUAAAGUGGUUGGCCUCGUCGGCAUACUCCAAUUUGCUCUAGCUCCGACAGACUAGGGGGCGAUGGUCACGGGCUAAUUCAAGAUGGUCGAUGUUGUUGCUCCCGCCACAUGUGGGCACCAUACCCCUCCUUGGAGGUGCUGUCAUGACCCUAACAAUGGCUCCCUCCCUCAUGCAUCGAGGAAACCCUAGCUCCGACUCUCCAGACCAAGCGGCGGUGAUGUCACCGCGUCGUCCCCUCCUUGGAGGUGUUGUCUAGGAUGCUCUCGUGAAGUCCUGUGGUGGUUGCUGGAGUCGAGUUUGGUCGUUGUUCAGGGUGUAGGCCUUCCGUGCACAACGUACAUCAUCGUUGGUGCUUCCUCGAUGACGCCUUCUUCAGGUACGGUCGUCCACUCGCCGACUUCUUCUAGACGCAUGGGAGGUGGCACAUUGACUUGGGCUGCCAUGGACCUACAUGACAUUCUCCACCACUUCUCGGCAAAGCUCUCAUCCUUUCCCAUGCGGUAUUACCCCUCUCGGUCAUGAGGCUUAAAGAGUGAACCUACCGCUCCUUGAACAUAAAAUUGCUUGCAAGCUAGCACCUUGGGUGGGAAAGCACAUGGCGGCUCCUGGAAGGGAUGUCCUGGUGAAGGCGGUGCUCACGACUCCUGGAUGGGUAGUCCUGGUGAAGGCGGUGCUCACAGUUGUGCCCAUCUACCACCUCACCCCCUUGUCCUCACAGUGGAGGUGAUGAAAAGGAUUGAUGCUCUAACAAGUGUUUCCCUUUGGGAGGGCUGUGAUAAGGUGACUGGUGGUAAAUGCAUGAUUAACUGGGAGCGGGUGUGUCAACCAAAGUUCAUGGGGGUCACGAAAAUUUCACUUGAGCAUGGUCAUGGUGGAAGAUUGGUGAACUGGCAUCGCCCUCAAAAGAUCUCCAAAUCUGAAAGCAAGGACCUGAUGAUGCUCAUAUCCUAGGAAGUGUGGAAGGAGCGAAAUGCUAUGGUCUUUCGGAACACCGCUACCCCAACUAUGAUCAUUGUUGGAAAAAAAAUCAAAGAGGAGGCACAACUGUGGGUGAUUGCGGGUGCUAGGGGCUUGGGUGUUUUAUUGCCACAUGAGUAGUUGUUUCGUUUCACCACCUUGUGGCUUUGUCUUGAACCUCUUACUAUUUGAGUGGCAAAUCUUUUUGCCUCGUUUAAAAAAAACAAAAACAAAAAAGCACAGGCUUACUUUCUUCACUCCUUUCAAUUUACUACUUCCUCUUAUCUCAUUGUUGUGUGUUCGCAGCUUUUUUCUACUAGUAACCUGCUUGUAAAUACAGUAGAUGGUUUUUCAGAAAGAAAUAAUAGAAAGAGGGAUUCCACAAACAAUCCCUUAUAUAGUUUGGGAACUAGAGAGAGCAAUAGCAGAAGAAAAGGGGGCAGCCUACCUAGAGAGGCUAAAUUUCGUGUUUUGACCCUUUUCCGAUACCUGUUCGAGAUCUGACCUAGUUUGAGCUUUUUUCGAUAUCUGACCCUUUUGCUACCGUCAGGGUCCAUGGCGGUAAGGUAUAACUGCCUACCGCCAAGGUCCCUGGCGGUAGGGUUGCAUGCCCUACCGCGAAAUUUUGCUAAGUAUUGAACAUAGUGCGUGCUCGUGCCUACCGCCGAGCACCUUGGCGGUAGGGUUGUACAUGCUACCGCCAUUCUGUUUGGCGGUAGGGAUGUUUCCUACCGCCAAGGUCCCUAGCGGUAGGCUGUUACACCCUACCGCCAUGGACCCUGGCGGUAGCAAAAAGGUCAGAUCUCGAAAAAAAUUCAAACUAGGGUCAGAUCUCGAAUAGAUAUCAGAAAAGGGUCAAAACACGAAAUUUUGCCACCUAGAGACAGAUUAAAGGAGCGAGCCAGGAACUGGAGAGUUCAAUUCGUGAUGCUUGCUAGGAUCAGCUGAGCUGACAGAGCACCUGGCAAAAAGUUGAAGCCUUGGGUUUCCAGUAUAUAUCGCUGAGUCCUUUCAGUAUGCGUUUGUGGCUUGUCCCCUGCACCGCGCACAAUGACUGUAGGGUACAGUUUUGACCAAGACAAGGGCAUUGGUUGGGUGAACAAUCAGGAUGUACCUCACUUGUUUGCAAUUCUACAGGGCUGCUGCAAAUUCAGACUUCACCAAUACAUGUAUCCUCAGCUCCAACUUUUGUGGAACAAAUCAGCUGGCUGACACUGGCUGCUGAAUCAUAAUGUACUGGUCAUGCACACGACAACGAGGAACACUGAUCAUAGCAACAAGGUAACUACAGGAAAUGGCUGAAAUGACCCGGCGCCGCAUCUAAUGACCUAUCACAAGUCUGAAGAUGAGGAAGCAUUGUGCACCUGUUAUUCUCUUGCAGCUGUUAAUACAAUGAAAAAACUAAUAUUUAGCCUGAGUUCAAGACUUGGAUAGAAAUAAAGAUGAAUUUUAUUUGAGUUUUAGAAAGAGACAUAGAUGGACUUAUUAUAGGAGUAGUACCUUUUCUUUCUGUUUACUCUAUGAAUUUCCUUUGACCGGUUUCUUAAAACUAACAGCAGCUGCUGCCCUAAUAAAUUAGGAAGUUGAUGGUGUUUGGGGGGAGAUCUGGAGAAGUCGGCAUGUUAAUAGUUUGCCGAUCGACUCACCGUAUCUUGUUUUGAUGGUGACUGGGAGUUGUUUCAGACAUAGGUUUCACAAGUAGAACAUUCCAAUAGAACUGCAAAACCAGUUCAGGAUGUAAACAAUUAUAUCACUGUACAUCAUGGUGUAUGUAGGAUAUAAACCAUUUCCAAAAAUCAUGGUGUAUGUUGUGUUUACUAGCAGCAUACUGCAUCCGUAGGAAAAGAUUGAUGAUCCUAUAUAUGUUUACAUAUCUCUGCUUUAUGUCAUUGGCGCUGCAUUGAGGAUCUGUUCGAAUGGAUCAGUAUUUGCUGCCAUCAUACUUAUGUUAGCUUAUGGGAAGGAGGGAAUACUCUGCUUUGGGGUUUCCAGACCAUGCAUGGCGUACACUGCUUGAAGGAUGACCAAACAGCAAAGAAACAAGGACAGCCAACUACACAUAUAACAGACAAAAACUAGAAUCCAAGCCCAAUAGAACAGAAAAUAAAAUACUGAGGAACCCCUUCAAGCGCAAUUCAACAGAAAAUAGAUUACACAGGUUCAGAUUCGAAGCCUAAGCUUACACACCACCGUGUUGUCCUGGUAAAAUCCUGAGUGGGCCACAAAACAUUCCAUCACUAAGUGAAGUACAAGGCCAGGACAACAUUAUAGGCUAGAUACAGAAGCUUGGGCUUUGAAAAGAAAGCAAAGUCAAUUUUCAAGAUGGGCAUCGACUACAUCAGAGAAAGGCUUGGAGGCUUACUGGCUAGAACCACACGUUGGUGGUCUUGUCAGCCCAAGUUCUGACUAAAUUUGGUAUACAACGUCUCCUAGACCCUUUUCUUCACACGUUGAGCAUACACUGGAGGGCAAGUCAAAGGGGUCAUCCAUUGACAAAUCAUGGGUAUGCAUGUUGUGCGUGAAAUCAUCCUUAGUGCCACAUCUCAGUUCAAUUCGAGCAUCCCGAGAAGCUCUACCGUAGUCUCGUAGGUUAAGGAGUUGAAUAGUACACCAUUGGCGCUGGCGGUGGUAAGGCAACAUGAUCUUCAUUUCCUUUAGCCCUUUCGCAUUCAGAAUAAAGAACUUGGCAAAGUCAAUAGAUGAACUCUUGGUGCCAUCAUAAUUCUUCAAUACCACUUUUUUUAGAUGAAGCUCAAGACAUUCAAUUGGGUCCAGUGGGUCAUACUUCCGAACAUUAUUCAUAGCCCCCCGUGAGGGUAAGAGUGGCUGGAACUGGAGAUAGAGAGAACAAACAAUAUAAAAGAAGUUGCCAGCAUGUUAGCAAUACAAUAAUUGUCCAGAUUUCAUGUCAAUCAACUGCUUAUUUUGACAUUUAAAGCAAGCAACUAUGUUUCAUACUCACAAUGACAUAAAGCCUCUCCAAGCAAGGGAAGCACUUGAGGAAGUUAACCACUGAAUCCAGAUUAGGGCCAUCGGAGCGAAGAACCAAAAUGCUCAUGGUGUGCAUUUUGGCUGUCAAACUGACAGCAACCAUUUUCUGCAGAAUAAAGUGCAAAUAUAAGAAUAAUAGCCUGCACAUAAGAAUGUCCGAAUGCAAUUGAUGAAGGUUGCUGCUACCUUAAAAAAUGUACUUCCAAGGUGGAGUUCAGGUAUGCCUUCAGACAGCAUACCCAAUAUCUUCAGUUUAGGUGCGCAGAUUAUCCGUAUGCUCGCUCUGCAGCCCUUUGCAUCAAGUUGUAGCAAUCUCUCAAGGCACGGGGCGUCCUUGAUGACUAGCUCUUGCAAAAUGAUACCUCCAAUCCUCUUGUCAGCGCAAAAGCCUAGACUCUUAAGAGUUUGGGAGCUGAUGCAGAGGCGACCAAUGCCCCAGUUUUCCUUCAGCUCAAGGCUUUCCAAGGCAGGGCAGCCAGAGAGCAUGCUCCGGAGAACGACCUGUGAGAUGGUGACCCUUUCCAGGGUUAGCUGCUUGAGGCACGGAAGCUUCAGGGACAGCUGCACAAUCGAGCAGGGGAAAAGGGUGUAGUGGAAUUUGGCCACGCGGAACAACUUCUCCAUGUUGCUGUCCCAAAACUUCUCCUUGAUGUAGGUGAUCUCAACCUCCUGUAGGUUGUCCAGGGCUUGGGCACUAAGCCAGCCAUCGAUCUUGUCGUUGUCCCUAGCGAUGCAGACGGAGAAGCGUCGUGCGGGGCCAGGAUGCUCAGAGAGGAUCUUUGUAAUUAAGUCCUUGUUCUUGGGUCCACAGUCCACCGCGAGGUUCAGAGGAGCGGAUCGCCAGAGGGGACGCCACCGGCGGGAGAUGACCUGCGUGCGGGCACCUUCCUCGGUGGGGAGAAGAGACACGAUGCUGCCAAGGACGGUGUCGGGGAGGCGGCUGAUGAGACCAGCGCUCCCCCCAUCGACACCACCGAUGAGAUCAGUGCUCCCCGCAUCAACUUCAGCAGUGAGAUCGACGCUCCCCCCAUCACUAUCACCAGUGAGAUCGACGCUACCCCCAUCACUAUCACCAGUGCGAUCGACGCUCCCCCCCAUCAUCAUCAUUGCUGAGAUCGACGCUCCCCCCAUCAUCAUCAUUGCUGAGAUCGACGCUCCCCCCAUCAAUAUCACCAGUGCGAACGACGCUCCCCCCACCAACAUCAUCGCAGUUGCCGCUCCCCCGUGGAUCUUGGUCGUCGACAAGAUGAAACUUACGCUUCUUGGAAGAUUGCAUUGCCGCCGUCGCAGCAGCGAGAGAGACCGCCGCCUCCCCUGCAGCUGUUGCCACAGCCGCUGCCUCCUUCGCCUUUAACGCCGCAGCCGCAGCCUUGGCUGCCGCCUCCUUCGCAGUCGCCGCUGCUUCCAUCGCAGUCGCAAUCGCCGCCGCCGCCUCGUUGGAAGCAGCCGAUGCCGCCGCCGCAGCAGCCAGCGCCGCCUCCUUGGCAGCCGCCACAGCAGCUGAGGCCGCGGCCUCCAUGGCUGGCGGCUUGCUGAGACCUGUGCGAGAAUGUUGGUGUGGUGGGGGAAAUGGGGAACGAAUCGAGGGAUUGGGAACCGAGGGUUUACUCAGCAUCGUCCUGUUUGGCCUGGAUUGAUCGAUCUGCCACCGUCCAAAUAAUGAACGGCUUAGAUUCGUCCAUCUCGUGAGCGAAAAGGAAAAUGAAACGGACGGUUUGGCGCCAGCUCGUGGGGUUUUGGCGCCAACUUUACUUGCGUACUACAGGACUAGGCGCAGCAAAGAAAUUUAAAGUAGAAAAUGAUUUUGAGUUUUUAUUCACAUUUAAGAAAGUCGCUUGAUACUUUAUGCUCCUUUCAAAAAACAAAAAACAAAAACUGAAGGCUCAAUCUUUUUUGCUUCUUUUAAUUUACUUCAAUUUUACCUCAUUGCUGUUUUCGCAGCUUGUUUGUUUGUUUGUUUGUACUACUACCUGCUUGUGUAAUGUAAAUACAUAAGGCAGCAACCGCUGGAUUUUUUAUAUAAAUAAAAAUAAAUAGUAACAGCAAAGAGAGAUUGUAUACGAUAGAAAACAAUCGGGACUCUAGAAAUAACAUCCACGAGUUUUAACCACAAACGGCGCAACAUCUACUGUUGUUGUUCCCCGUCCUGUGGUUGGCUUCUUGCGCCAUUGCCUGCCUUCCAGCAAGCCGACGUGUCAUCUCUGCCAAGCCGUGGCCUUCGCGUGGAGGUUUGCUUCUCUAUCAAGCUGUUGUUGAUCCGUACGUAUUGGGAUCUUGCUCUGCAUUAGAUGGUCCAAUUUAUCCAUUGAUGUGUUGUGCUCCAGCAAACGAAGAGGUUUAAAAUUGCUUGAUUUGCUCUCUGGUUGAUGUUGCCUUCUGGUGCUUUACCGAAUUUGCCCUAUGAACUUGCUCCUACUCCGUUGAAACAUUGGUGUGUGGUGCCCUGUGUUGUCCCCCCGCCCCCCUCUUGCUAGUGGUCCUUGCUGCUAUGGCAAAGAAUGACUUUGGAUUAGGGGCUGGUUAAAUGUCCAUAGACAUCAAACUUGAUGGUACAAAUUACAGGGAAUGGCCUUUCUUGGCUAGAACAAUCUUGAGGAGGCCUUGUCUCUCACUUGUCUGAUGAUUCACCUAGUUCGAUUGAUGAUGCAGCUGGGAAAUCUUGGCAAAAGAUUGAUGAUCGUGUCAUGGGUACUUUAGCUCUGGGUGUUCAUCCUCACUAAGAAUGAGUCUUGAGUAUCAUAAUUCAGCCACAGAAAUGUGGAAGUAUUUUGAGCAGCGAUCCCUUCAGCCUAGUGGUGCUCUCCAUUUUUCACUAUUGCAGAAUUUACGUAACACCCAGCAGCAACAAGACAUGUCCAUCGAAGAAUAUUACGGGGUUUUCACUCGCAUUACUGGUCAGCUAUGUUCCAUGGUUCCAAAUAGUAGUGUUGGAUGUGGAUGUAAGUCUUGUGUGGCCAAGGAAGAGUAUGAGCAUCGGACUCUUGUCUUUCAGUUUGUGACGGGUCUCAAACAUGACUUUGAGAACAUUCGCACUCAGCUGCUUAGUCGUACAAGUCCUCCUACCUUGACAGAGGCACUUGCUAGCUUGAUUGACGAGGAGACUCGUCUCGUUCCCUUGCUACCACUUCAGCACCUUCUCUACAUACUAGUGUUCUGUCUUUUCCUCAGCGGCCAAGUGCUUCUAGGGCUGCACCUUCAGGUGCUUUCUGCUCACACUGCAAGAGGACAUGACAUCGCCCUGAUAAUUGCUUCCAGCUUCACCCAGAGCUGUUAGCUGAAUUUCGUGCUAGAAGAGACAUGCAGCGUGGUGCAACCACCAGAUCCCAGACUCAGUCUUUGAGGCCUUCUACAACAACUAUCACUGAGCCGCCUGUGAUGAGUGCUUCUAUGUCCUGGUGAGGUCUUGUUCGGUUCUCCUUCCAUGUAUGACCAUCUUCGUGUUUUUGGUUGUACUUGCUAUGUUCUUCUAGCGCCUGGUGAGCGUACCAAGUUGACUGCAUAAUUUGUUAAGUGUGUUUUCCUUGGAUAUAGUCUUGAGCAUAAGGGUUACUGUUGUUAUGAUCCUUCUGUUCGCCGCAUACGCUUUUCUCGUGAUGUCACUUUUGUCGAGGAUCAACCCUUCUUCUAUUCUGAUUCAACUCAACCAGCAUCCUCAACCACUUUAGAGUCUACCUCCUUUCUUUCUCUUCCACCAAUCUUUUCGGAUGAAUUUGUCUCUGGUCAACCAUCAUCCAACUUGACAUUAGAUCCACCCUCAUCACAUGUGCCAUCUCCCCCCUCGCCAGCUCUAGCUCCACCAUUUCUUCCACUAGCCCCACCUCUAGACAGCCUCCCUUUUCAUUACAGUCGUCGUCCUAGAGUUCCAUCGGCUACACAGUCAUCUAUUCCCUUGUCUUCUUCCCCUCUGGCCAGUACUAUUGAUCCUUGCACUGACAAUUCCUCCCAAACAAUGAGGUAUGCUCAUCGGGAUCGCUCCUCUCUUGAGAUUCCUGACAGAUAAAAAAGGACUUUUGUGUAGGGGUAGUUUAUAAGCCUAGCACUUAUCAGGAGGCAACUGUGUCACCUGAGUGGCAAGUGGCAAUGUCUGAUGAGCUUGAAGCCCUUGAAUGUACUAGUACAUGGGACCUGGUACCAUUACCUCCUCGAUCGGUCUCUAUCACUUGCAAAUGGAUGUACAAGGUGAAAACCAAGUCAGAUGGUUUUGUGGAAGAUGCGGACCGAGAAGCGGCGUGCGGGGCCAGGAUGCUCAGAGAGGAUCUUUGUAAUCAAUUCCCUGCUAUUGGGUCCACGUUCCACCGCGAGGUUCAGAGGAGCGGAGCGCCGGAGCGGACGCCACCGGCGGGAGAUGACCUGCGUGCGGGCACCUUCCUUGGUGGGGAGAAGAGACACGAUGCUGCCGAGGACGGCGUCGGGGACGCGGCUUAUGUGAUCGACGCUCCCCACAUCAACAUCAUCAGUGAGAUCGUCAGUCGCCCCAUCAACAUCAUCGCAGUUGCCACUCCCCGGCGGAUCUUGGUCAUUGACAAGAUGGAACUUACGCUUCUUUGAAGCUUGCAGUGCCGCCGUCGCAGCAGCAACGUUAGCGGCGGCAGCAGCCGCCGCCUCCCCUGCAGCCGUCGCCACGGCCGCUGCUUCCUUCGCCAAAGCCUUCGCCGCCGCCUCCUUGGCAGUCGCCGCUGCCUCCGUCGCAGUCGCAGCCGCCACCGCCGCCUCCUUGGAAGCAGCCGGUGCCGCAGCAGCCACAGCCAACACCGUCUCCUUGGCGGCCGCAACAGCAGCUGAGGCCGCCGCCUCCAUGGAUGGCGGCUUGUGGGAAUGUGGUGGGGGGGGAUGGGGAACGAAUCGAGGGAUUGAGGACCGAGGGUUUGUUCAGCAUCGUGCUGCUGGCCAUCGUCCAAAUAAAUCAACGGUUUAGAUUCAUCCAUCUCGUGAGGGAACAGAAAAUGAAAUGGACGAUUUGGCGGCAACUCCUUGAGGUUUUGGCGCCAACUUAGUUGUGUAGGUGCAGCAGACCAUUUUAGUUUUUCUUCACACUUAAAGGGAAGUCUCACUCAAUACUUUGAACUCCUUUAGAAAGCAGAAGGUUCGGUCUUUUUUGCUUCACGACUUGUUUCUUUUUAGCGCUACCUGCUUGUGUAAAUACAAAAGCCAGCAAUUACGCCAGUCAAAUUUCGCAACUAGGCCGAAGGUGGGGGUGAUGUGACGAGUGGGAGCGAAGAGCGUCGAUCCCGGCAAGGCUGAGCCAGGAUCUCGUUGGAGAAGGGGACGGUGAUGCGAGCGGUAGCGAGUCGUGACGUCCCAGGUGAAGCUGACGAAACAAAUUGAUUGGUGUGGUCAAGUGCUAGGAGGCUCCUGUAAUAUGUUGGUACAUGGGUCACAUGGGGGCGGACUUGGGUGUACGCCAGAUCACCCGAUGCUUGCUAUAAGUACCAAUGAAGGAGACAUCGAAAAGACUAGCCGGGCAUUGAAAAUGGUAUCAGAGCCAGAUUUCCAGUGCGGCGGCGGCGGAAAGGGGUGGUAGGUGGUCUCUUAUACCAUGAUGUUAGGGUGUGGAUCCCACUUUCUGUAUUACACUCACAGAUACACCUCUACCUCUCUCUGAUACAAUUUGGAAAGAAAGAAAGAAAGAAGAUGUCAUGCCGUUGCCGUUCUGAUCCAAGCCUGGAUAGCUUGUACGUUGUCUCCUUUCCUGGUACUUAUAGCAAGCAUCACUCGAUGUGGCGUACACCCGGGCCCGGCCCAUGUGUUGUCGAAGGGAGCAGGCCCAUGUACCAACAUAUUACAGGAGCCACCUAACGUCGAGGUAGGGGGUGUGGAUCGUCCGAGAAAUCUGGUCACAGUGCAGGUUUAGAGGGAUGGUCUGAGUUGUGACGUCCCAAGCGGAGGCGAGGAAGCAGAUUGACUAGUGUGGGUCGAGGAGGGGGAGGGGUGCGGGGUGUCAGAGAAAUCUGAUCGGGUUGCAAGUUUAGAGGGAUGGUCGGAGGCGACGGCAGAGUAAGCCGCGACAUCUCGGGUCGAAGGAGAGGGUGCAGGUCAUCAAGGAAGUCUGGUCGGUGUACAGGUUUAUAGGGAUGGUCGAAGGCGGCAUCAGAACGAGUGGGAGAGGCAGCGAGGUGGUCGCAGGAGGCGGCCGAUGCUAGAAGGUAGACCAGAGAAGAGGUGGCUGGAGGUUGAAGAACGUUUUCAGGCACCAGACCAGAUGAAUAGGUGCUCCCUUAGAAAUAAUAUCGUGCAGGAGUUUAACUGUUUAACCACAAACGGCGCAGCAUGUACUGUUUUUGUUCCCCUUCCCAUUUUACAGCAGCCGGUGGAGGAAAGACAGAGUUCAGACAGGAGACUGCACGUUCAACUAGUACAAAUUGGAUCUGAAUGGAGAAGCCUACUGCUGCCCGGGGCGCAGGGAUGAGAGGACCACGUCCUGGAGGGCGCUGUCCUUCUGCAUCGCCGCCUUGAACUCGUCGAAGGUGACCUCGCCGUCGCCGUUGGCGUCCAUGGUGUCGAACAUCUCGUCCAGCUUCCCCGGCUCCGCGAUGUCCCCGGGGAGGCACUCCUCAGGCAGCGCCUGCCAAUCACAGCAACUUCGUGUUCAGAACAACAAUUUGAUCUGGUACAGUACAGGUAGUGUGUAGUGUCUCUGUGUCUGCCCUGCUUACCCGGAGCAUCGACGCCAGCUCUUCCUUGCUGAUGCAGCCCGACCGAUCGGCAUCAUACAUCUGAAAUGGUAGUGUUAUCGUGUUUUCAGUCAGAUGUUGAAUAGCGUCUUGUGAAAAUUUAAUAAUCUAUUGAGAUACGCAUUGCUGCUGCAAUCUGUCAGAUCAUUACAAGAACCUUCUUGAGUCGCAGUGAUUUUGCUUUUACCUGGAAGCAGAGUCGGAGAGCAUUGUCACCCCGCGAGUUCCUCAGGCUGGAGAGCCCGCAGAGGAUCUCCCUCAUGUCCACGGUUCCGUCACGGUUGUUGUCGAACAAAUCAAACACACGAGGAGCUAGAGGGAUCAGGGAGUCCAUCUUCAUUGCUUUCAGCACCUGCUCGAAUUCUGUUAGUGUGGCGUUCUCUCCGUCUGCACAUCUGCACCAGGAGCAAUUUGUAAAUAAAUUCAAGUAUUCAAACUGUCGAAUGAACAGACUCCAGAAACAUACAUCCUUUAGAAUUCGUUGUGUGCAAGUUCCUUUACUAGCACGCAUUUGUCUAGCAAAAAAAAACUUAUUUGAUGUUUAAAACAGCUUUUUGAGAGAAUAUGUUGAGACUUACCACAUUUUGAACAACUGCUGUGUUCACAAAUUAACAAUAGUAAUAAACAAUAUAUUGAAGCAAUGAUAAGCAAUAUUUUCAAGUAGUAAUAAACAAUGUUUUGAAUAUUGGACAAGCCCAUAGCAGCUAACUCACAUCCUUGCAAAAUGUUGCCGCAGGUUAUCUAGCUCUUCCGAGCUAAGGUCAUGGGUUCCCAAAAGACUCCUCAGCCUUUUUGUCCUCAAUGCCACUUUGCUGCUCAGGACGCUGGCUAUCGCUGCCGCCCUCAAUUUCCUUCUAGCAUUGAACCUCUGCAGUUUCGAGACGACCUCUGCAUCUAUGCGAUCUUGCUUGGCGCAGUCUCCUAUCACCCAAGGAUGCAUCAAGAGCUGGUUUUUCAUCAUAAACGGGCCCACAGUCAGCUAAUGUCAAGUAAAGUGCGAAGAAGUAGAAAAGGGAGCAAGAGACGGACAUCGCUUGCUGUGGGCCUUUUGUAAGGUUCGACGGAAAGAAGACUGGAAAUCAAAUCUUUGGCUGAUGAAGUUAUUGUUUUCCAUGUGUGCUCCUGAAAACUGAAUUCACCCUGAAUGAAGCACAGCAAACAAAUGACAUUAGAUUGGACCCUGACUAAUGCAAGAAGAUUGGUGGCUUCUUUGUUGAAGCAAUUAAGCAACCAGGAGUAUUCGUAUAGAGUGUAGACACUCGAGUGCUUAAGUUGUUCAAACACACCCUAUUAGUUUUCGGGACUUAAAUCUUCAAGGACGAAGGUGCCAGUACCCUUUUUAGUGGAUUAUGACACAAAAUCCAAGUACCCCACAUCAUAAUACCCGCCAAAAAAAAACCACAUCCAUAGCUUGUGUGUUGGGUGUACUCUUGUCUCUUGUAAGAAAACAUUUUGUUUGCAUGCUCAGAGGAAUCUCCAGUUAGCUAGUACUGACUUACACAUCUCAAAGAAACUAGCCCAUUGGAAGUUUGGAACUGGACAUCAGAUAAGACAAACCGGAAUUCAAGUGGAAACAACCAACAGAAGAAUAAAAUUCAGCAAUGAUUGGCAGUCAUGUCUCUGUACUAUUCAAGGUCAAUUGCUCCGAACCAGCUGACAGAAGGUGGACACCCAUGCUGACAUUGCAGAGCGAAUCGAAUUCCUCACCCAUAAUUUAUACAUAAAGAGCGUGUACAAAACUUAAACCUCAACAUUAUAUUCACGGGCAUGGUGAUUCUGUUUCAUAAGCAAAGUGAAACUGAUUUAAGUCCCUUCCAACUACAAGUGUGUCAAUGUGAUCAAUCGACAUUCUCAUAGCUGGUUGUAGAAAUACUAACAAGGUUAAGACUGCACAACAUUUUCAAACCAAUUUGAUCAUCACUGCACAACAUUUUCCCCAUAUGAACCACAGUAAAAUUCCAAACUAGUCUGAUCACCACUGCACAACAUUUUCCUUUUCCAAAAAACAAGAGAACAUUUUCCUCAGAUGUUAGUUGAGAGGAGUACUUACUUGCAGGAUCCUUUGCUGCUUUUCUUGAUUAGUUGCAGCAUGAAAUGGUGGGCAUCUGAAAUAUAUACAGAUCAAAGUCUGCAAACUGCAAUGACAAAAUCAAGCCAAGGAAAUUACUACAAGACAGGAUGACCAUUGACCAACAUACCCGGAUAAAAGAAUAUACAGAAUCACCCCAACAGACCACAUAUCACUUGCAGUCGAAACCUCUUGCCGCGAGAGUGCUUCCGGUGAAACAUAAUCUACCGACCCAAACAGCGCCACAACCGGGUCACUGAAAUCUUCUACAGAACUCAAACCGAAAUCCAUAAUCUUCAGUGUGGAAUCUUCUUUUCUGUCCGAGAAGAGGCAGUUCUCUGGCUUCAAGUCCCUGUGUAUGAUGUUUGCCUUGUGAAGAGCCUUCAACCCACCAGCAAUCUGCCUAACAACAGCGGCCGCAUCAAACUCCGAGUACCGCUCGCGCCCUAUGAUCCUGUCGAACAGCUCGCCGCCCGAGCACAGCUCGAGGACGAGGUGCACACCGUGCGCAUCCUCGUAGACAUCGUGCAGGCUGAUGACGUUCGGGUGCGGCGCGACGUUCUCCACUAUCCUCCUCAUGACAAGAAUCUCGUUAGUGAGCAGUGCGUCGGAGAUGGAUACCUGCUUCCACAGCGGGAGGCCGCCCGAGCUCGGCGCGCCCUUUGACCCCUGCUGCAUCCCCAUCCCCGUCAUCGCAGGGCCGAGCCUUCGGAGGGUCUUUAUCGCGACCUGGGUCUUUCCUUCAUCAGACUUGCUCACACCCCUUCUGACUAUGGAGAAACCGCCUCGGCCGAGGACAUCCGCGACUUCAUAGUCGUCGGACAGCCUUCUACUUUCAGUUGUUGACAUUGUUCAGCACCAAAGAGCAGCUUCAACUGGCUAUUUGACCAAAGAACCUGAAACUUGAGGAAGCAAACACCAGUAAGGCCCCUAGAGCCUUGGAGGGCAGGAGCAACCGAAGCUGGCGGUGAACCUGCUACACACGAGAAAUGAAAAACGGUAAGCUCUGCUAGAGGAAGAACAAACUGAUCGUAGGUGUCUCUGGGGGAGAAGGGAGGUUGGGGAACAGCAGAGCAGGAACUGGAAACAGUAGUUGUGGAGCUGACAGGGACUUGUAUAUAUAAACAGCUCCUAUGUGACAAUUAUACAGAGAGCAGAACGGAGGGGGUGUUGGAGAUUGUGACGGCAGAAGAAAGGGACAUGUGCCAACAGCCAGCAAAAGGGAAUAAACUCACCAGGUACUUCCUUUUUGUGCAGACGGCAAGAUGACAAGAGCAGAGCAGAUAAUGGUUGAGGAGACGCUAAUUGUGUUGACCUGGUUGCCACUGCUCUGGGCCGGGGAUGCUACUUUGACUUGGUCUUCACCCGGUGAGGCCAGACUUGGUUCUAGUUUACUGCGUUGCCUUGCGUUAUUAUUGAUGGAGCUUUCUUCUUCAGCCGGUGAACACAAGAGCAUAUUUUGCCCAUAGUUUAAAAUAGCGCAUAGCGGCGGCCCUCCAAAUCAGCUAUAGCAGGCCAGCUAUUUCAUAAAUUUACUGGACAAUUGACCGUCCUCAAACCUAUUUUUUAUUGCAGAGAAGAGGCCCAGUAGAGCAACUGUGUCCACUUUGCAGUUGGUCUAUCCAUCUGACUUAGUAGUACAGUACUUAAUUACAUUUUAGACUGCACAGAAGGCAAUUCCUAAAAGCAGUCACAACUACUGGCAAUGCUGUACUAAAAAAAUGGAGAUAACAGUGGGGUGUUUGUUUAUGCAUGAAACUAACCAAGAUUGCUCAAGGAAACAAAGAAAACCAUGUAAUCGAUAUCAUGAGGAACAGGUACUUUCUACUACUAGAUGCGAUGACAAUUUAAAAAGAUAACCAUUCCUUUAAACCUCUCAUCAAGAAAUCACAAGCGAAACAAAACUGUAACAGCAAAACCAAAUCAAUCUCUCACGAAUGGACCGUCUUCAAAACUUUCAGAGACAAAUAGGUUGCUACUAGGAUAACAGUGGGUUCAUAACUUCCGACAUUAGACGACAAUAUCCUACAUAAAUAGUAUACUGAUGGCUCCAAGCAAAUGUUUCCACUACGGCAACACCCACAGAGAGGUGCAUCGAAAAACUGAAGUUUCCAUAUGAACUAUGCUGAAUCCCCAAAAUCAAUUGCUCUUCUGACUCUUAAGAUCUAUCAGCCCGUAUGCCCCCUGUCUGUCCCUGGAUAUUUUCAGCUCCUUCCUUCGACGGUUCCUUCGCUCACUUCUAGUUGAUUUUUUCUUGCCACCUGUUUCUUCUUCACUUGUUAACUUGCCCUCCUCUGGCUUUUCAGAACCAGGACCAUCCUCGGACCUGGAUCUCUUCCCAGUCUUGACCUUCUUGCUCUUCUUUGACUUCGUCUUGGCAUCUGCAUCUUCUUGCUCACUUGUCAACUUGCCUUCCUCUGGCUUUUCAGAACCAGGACCAUCCUCGGACCUAGAUCUCUUCCCAGUCUUGUGCUUCUUGCUUUUCAACUCUGUCUUGCCAUGUGUUUCUUCUUGUUCACUUGUUGGCUUAUCUGUCUCUGGCCUCCCGGAACUAGGGCCUUCCCCGGACUUAGAUUUCUUGUGAGAUUUGACCUUCUUGCCUUCUAUCUUCUGUCCUCCAAGGAUCAAAUCUUUGCUCAGCUUCUUAUGAUGAGUCACCUGCCAUUCAUCCUCCCUAUAUGGUGCUAACUUCUUCAUGGAUACAUAUUGGUUCAGAUCCCUGUCAUCUGAUUGCAGUAUCUCAUACGUCUCCAGGCCAAAACUGUUUGGCUGAACUUGCCUAUAUUUGAACCGUGUCUUCAGAUCUCCAAUGGUGUCCUCGUAGUCUAGCUUAUAAUACUCAUCAAGCUCCUUCUCAAGCUCCACCUUGUCCUUGAGAGAGAUCUUCCCCUUCUUUUUCUCGCCUUCCUCCUCACCAUUUGCAAGCUCCUUAUUUUUCUUCUUCUUUUUCUUCUCACCAGUGGCAGUAGACCCUUCUUUACCAUCAAGAGCCCAAUCUUUAGGUAGCCCAAGCAAUUCAUCUUCCUUGUCAAAAUCAGGUUUGACCAAAUCCAAAUCAUCUCCACUUCCAAACCCAGGAUCAACCUCAUCAGCACCAUAGUAGCUGUCGUCGAACAUCUCCUGCAUUUUCCUGUCAUAAUCCUCUGGAUCAAAAUCUUCCUCCAAGUCAUCUGCACCAAGCUUACAGGCAGCUUCCCCUUCAAUUCCAGCAAUCAUCCGGAUCUUCUCAAGCUUCUCAGCAAUCUCUUUCUUCUUCAAAUUCUUGAGAUGCUUCAGCUCCUCUGCCUGCUCCUGCUUGGCUCGCGCAAGCCGUUCCUCUUUGCUCUUGCGCUGCUUCUUUCUGCCGCUCUCCUUCUUCCUCACAGACCCCUCAACAACCCGGGGAUGUCCCAUUACCCGAUCAGUCACCACUCCCUCUGAAGCUUCCACCUCCUCAUGCCGGAAUUUAUAAUCCCCCAACUUAUUAUAAAUAUCCUCAUAGUCCUCCUGAGUUUCGAUCACAUCCUCUUCCUGUGAGACCUCCUGGAUAUCAUCCAGCGAGAACUUUUCCGGCACUGGUUCAAGGUACGGCCUAUUGAGGAUGUAAUUCUUCAAAAACUUCUCAUUUUCAUCCAGCUUGUCAUCAUCCCCAAAAACCUCAACCAACAGCUCCUCGGUCUGCUUCUCGUCUUCGUCCUCUUCGCUGUCGCCACCAUCUCCUUCAGCCUGCUUCGCCUUGAACAGAUCGUCCUCCUCGUCAUCGCCAUCCCCCAAUGCCUUCUUCUCCGCCUCAAGGAACUCCUUCAGCCCCUCCCUCUGGAGCUCGUUGUACGCAAUCCGGUCAUACUUGCUGCCACGGCCAGCCUGCGCCGCGAACUCGGGGCCCUCCUCGAGCAGGUGCUGGGCGUUGACGUCCUUGAGGUACAGUGGGCGCUCCUUCUUGGCCUUCUUCCCCUCCUUGGGCUCCCCCUCGGCGUCGUCCUCGUCCUCCGACGAGGAGGAGUACACCUUGGCGUCCUUGUCGAAGAUGGCGCUGUCGCCGCUACGGAUGCGGCGGAUGACCUGGAGCACGCGGCGGUCGACGCGGCGCGAGGCGGCGGCGACGGCCUCGUCCUCAUCCGACUCGUCGUCGGAGUCGUCCUCGUCCUCGUCGUCGGGGUCGGCGACGACGCCCUUCUUCUUCUUCUCCUUGAGGCGCUCCAGCGCCUCGCGCCGCUUCCUGUGCUCGAAUUUCCGAGCGUACCCCUCGUUGAUCUGGAUCUUGGAGUAGUCCUCGGCGGGGCCGUCCGAGUCGUCGUCGGAGCCCGCGAGGAUGUCCAGCACCCUCCUCCUCCCCUCCCCCUCUCCACUCAUCUCCUCCGGCGACGCCUUUAUUGCUGGGUGGCGGCGGCGGCGGCGGCGGCGCUGCUCGUGCUAGGGUUUUCGCGAAUGGAGACACCGCUUGGGGCUGCGGAUCAACCGGUACCGUAUUUACGACCGAGCAGUCUGGCAACGCGGGCCCACCUCGCCAGCUCAGCGCCACGGCCCGUUGGGUUCAUUCUCGGCCCAAUGAGGCCCGGUCCAGCCCAAUCCGUCGCGGCAGUCUCGUCCGCGCGGCCGCACCUAUAUAGCCCCUCCCGCUAAACCCUAGCGAGCUCUCCAUUUGCGCCGCCGCCUCCCCCGAAGCCAUCCGCAUCCCCACGCUCGCUCGCUCGCCCGACGCGAUGGCUCCCACCAAGAAGGCGGUACGAACCCUAAUCGAUCCCCGCCCGCCGCUCCUCCCAUUUCGGCCUGAUUCGUUCUCCGGUGGUUAUCUCGCCGUGUCUUUCUUUCUGAGAGAUCUUCUGACUGUUUUUUCGGUUGAUGGGUGCGCUCUGCAGAAGAAGAGCGGGGAGAACAUCAACAACAAGCUGCAGCUGGUGAUGAAGAGCGGCAAGUACACGCUCGGCUACAAGACCGUCCUCAAGACGCUCCGCAGCUCCAAGGGUAUGGAUAGAUCGGCUCUCUGCUUUUUACGGCUUUUUUUUAUCUCACUGUUGAUUGAUUUGUCGCUGUGGCUGAUCUGCUAGUUCUCUUGUCUGCUGGAUCCGAAGGGUAGUGCUGUAACUUACGCUCGGGACCGUGUUAAUUCCAGAGAUGCGUGAUUAGGUUUUGUAGAAUGAAGUGGUUAAUAUCUGCUUUGUGGCUGUCAAUUACUUGCUGUACUUAUUAUUAGUGGGAAAUAAGUUGAACUGUAUGCGUAUUCUCUGCACGUGUGUAGUGAUGCCCACUGAAGUUUGUAGCGUUGAAACUUUUAGUUCGUAGAAUGGGACUGAAGUUUACCUCAUUGGCUUGCUUUCGCCGUGCCUUGGAGAUGAAUACAGCGCCCUAGAACAAGCCACCUCUUAGUUAAGACUUCUACGGGACUUCUUUAAUGUCUAGUGGACAAUGGGAGGUUGAAAUAUUUCUGUUUGCUGAUAGCAGUUUGUACUGUGUUACCGGUUGUGUGUCGGAAGUUGUCUUGUGUAGUUUGUACCGAUCAAUUUAGUUUGUAUAGUGGGACACAUUGUUGUUUGUACCGAUCAAAUUAGUUUGUAGAAUGGGACUGAAGUUUACCUCACUGGCUUGCUUUGGCUGUGCCUUAGAGAUGAAUACAGCGCCCUAGAACAAGCCACCUCUUGAACUGAGACUUCUACAAGACCUCCUCAAUGUCUAGUGGGCAGUGGGAGGUUGGAUAUUUCUAUUUGCUGACUGCAGUUUGUACUGCAGUCUAGCUCGUUGGCUUGCUUGUGCUGUUCCUAAGAGGUGAAUGCAUUGUCUGAGGCAAUUGCAUCUUUGUUAGGCAGUUUAUGGUUAAAAACUGAUACAGCAAGAUGGGUUUUGCUUGCCAUUUAGAGCAUUUAUAGAUAAUUUGUCUCUUUUUUUCAUUUCUACAAUUUUAUUCCAGUGGUUUGUGCUUUUGUAAUGAUUUUUACUUCUUGUUGUGUUAGAAUAUUGGAUUGAAGAACGGGACUGAAAUUUGGCUCCUUGGCAUCUUUUGCCGCCAUGGAGAUGAAUGCAGUGCCCUAGAAUCAUUUCAGCCUAACUUUUAAGACUUCUCCAAGUUUCAUUAUCUGGGGAACGAUGGGAGGAUGAAAUAUUUUUUGUUAUAUGAUGAAAAUGUUCUCUAUUGUUCUAUCAAACUAGUUCCAUGGAAUCACCUAUGCCCCAGGAUGGCAUUGCUAUAUUCGUUGCACUCAUAAGAUUGUUGUAGUGUUCACCUGUUUACAUGUGAUUCUGAGUACUAAUAUGAGAAUUUGUUUCAAUAUUCAGGGAAGCUGAUAAUCCUCGCAAACAACUGCCCUCCCCUUAGGAAGUCAGAGAUUGAGUACUACGCUAUGUUGGCGAAAAUUAGCGUGCACCAUUUCCAUGGAAGUAAGAUAAUUUUGCUCUUUUAGACCCUUUUUUUGUCUGAUUGCUUCUCUCUUAUAGCACCUUAUGCACAAAUAGUUGUGUCUGCCUGUUUAAUUGUGCUAAUAAUUUGCAUUGUGCUUCAGACAAUGUUGAUCUUGGAACUGCCUGCGGCAAGUACUACCGGGUGUGCUGCCUCAGCAUCCUCGACCCUGGUUCGUUGCCGUUCAGAUCACUUGCAUUUGUUUCCCCUUUUACAGCCUGUAAUAUCUGCUGACACUAGUUACAUCCUUCAGGUGACUCGGACAUCAUCAGCACCACCACCACCACCCAGUGAAGAGAAGAGAAGAGAGCUCUCCACCUAUUUUAUUUAGUCGAGUUGUAGGGUCCUGUUGUGCUCUCGAAACCACUCUUGUUAUCUUCGGUUUGUGUACCUUUUUGCGACGCUGAGUUGGAGCUGUCAUACAGAUAAUACUUCAUAUGGUUGUUCCGCUGGACAUUCAUGUGGUUUUGUUUUCAUGAUAUCGUUGUUUCAAUCUUGGUUAUACUGUUGCUCGUUAAGCCUUGUGUGAUUAACACAAAUCUAAGAUUCUUUUCAGCUGAAUCAUUUCUAAA
rnacentral:lncRNA from 1 species